rnacentral:lncRNA from 1 species
GAAACCCUCCUUCUUUUGUUGAACUUACAUUCCAUAUACUCCGAUUUGCUUCUGCUUAGGCGAAAGCCAUGUGUUUCUAGAGCUCGUCUCCAAGUUUCCAACCUCUCAUUCAACUCCUCCCUCGACUCUCCAAGGAGGACUAUGUCAUCUGCAAAAAGCAUGCAUCUCGGCGCUAUCUCUUGGAUUUGUUCCGUGAGGACAUCCAGAAUUAAGGUAAAAAGGUAGGGGCUAAGGGUUGACCCUUGAUGUAAACCAAUUGUGAUGGGAAAAUCGUCUGACUCUCCACCCUGUGUCCUAACACUAGUCGAUACCCUAUCAUACAUAUCUUGGAUAGCUCGAAUAUAUGCAACCCUAACCCCUUUCUUCUCUAGAGCUUUCCACAAAAUCUCUCUAGGCACUCUAUCAUACGCUUUCUCCAAGUCAAUAAAAAUCAAGUGCAAGUCUUGUUGGGCCAUGCGAUAUUGCUCCAUCACCCGCCGUAAUAAAUAAAUCGCUUCCAUGGUCGACCUUCCCGGCAUGAAACCAAAUUGAUUCUCAGUAACUUGAGUCUCCUUUCUUAAUCUCCGUUCGAUCACUCUUUCCCGUAAUUUCAUGGUAUGACUCAUGAGCUUGAUUCCCCUAUAAUUUGCACAAUUUUGUAUAUCCCCAUUGUUCUUAUAGAUUGGCACUAACGUGCUUCUCCUCCAUUCCUCCGGCAUGCGUUUUGACCUCAUAAUUUCGUUAAAGAGUUCGGUGAGCCACUCAAGACCUCUAUCUCCAAGAGUUUUCCACACUUCAAUAGGUAUGUGGUCUAGCCCCACCGCCUUACCAUUACUCAUUCUUUUCAACGCUUCCUUUACUUCCUAUUUCUGAAUCCGACGAUAGUACUUAUAGUUCCGGUCCUCUUCUCUUGUGUCUAGACUGCUAGAGUCAUAUCCAUAUCCAUCAUUAAAUAAGUUGUGGAAAUACGUCUUCCACCUUUCCUUGAUAUCUUUUUCAUGCACUAAGACUUUGCUUUCUUCAUCCUUAACACACUUUACUUGAUCCAAAUCUCUAGUCUUCCUCUCUCUACCCUUAGCAAGCCUAUAUAUAGAUCUUUCUCCGUCCCUGGUUCCUAGAGCUUGGUAUAGUCCGUCAAAAGCUUGGGCUCUUGCCUCACUCACCGCCUUUUUGGUUUCAUUUCUAGCUAUCUUAUACUUAUCCCAAGUUUCAGAAUUUCUACACCUAGACCACUCCUUGAAACACUCCUUUUUUACUCUAACUUUGCUCUGAACAUUUUCAUUCCACCACCACGAUUCUUUACCCCUAGGUCCAAAACCUCUAGAUUCACCCAACGUCUCUUUAGCCACUUUAAUAAUCUUUUGAGACAUCUUGUUCCACAUAUCAUUUGCACUUCCUUGUGAUUGUCCACACCAACCCUCCCAUAUCUUUUGUUGGAAGAUUCCUUGUUUCUCACCCUUCAAGUGCCACCAUUUGAUCCUUGGUGCUACCAGAGGACUUCUUCUCUUUGCCCUAUCUCUAAUUCUUACAUCCAUAACCAAAACUCUAUGUUGGGUAGUCAAGCUCUCUCCCGGGAUAACUUUACAGUUCAAGCAAUACUUCCUAUCAGACUUCCUGAUAAGGAAGAAAUCUAUCUAAGAACAUGUCCCUCCACUUUUGUAAGUGAUAAGAUGUUCCUCUCUUUUCUUAAACCAUGUAUUGGCUAUAGAAAGAUCCAAAGCCUCUGAAAACUCCAAGAUGGAUUUACCCUCCCCAUUCAUCUCUCCUAGGCCAAAACCCCCAUGCACCCCCUCAAAACCUCUAGCCACGCUACCUACAUGUCCAUUGAGAUCCCCUCCUAGGAAAACUUUCUCUCCUUAGGGUAUAUCCUGAAGUACCCCUUCUAGAUCCUCCCAAAAUUUUACCUUAAAGUGUUCUACUAACCCAACCUGAGGUGCGUACCCACUAAUAACAUUAAAGGUGUCCUGUCCCACUACCAAUUUUAAGACUAUGAUACGAUCUCCUACUCUUCUUACAUCCACGACAUCCUUCUUCCACUCCUUGUCCACAAUAAUCCCUACCCCAUUUCUUGAUCUGAUUUUUCCCGUAUACCACAGCUUAAAUCCCGAGUUGUCUAAUUCUUUCGCUUUUUCACCUGUCCACUUAGUUUCUUGUAGGCACAUAAAAUUGAUCUUCCUCCUCACCAUAACAUCCACUAUUUCCAUAGAUUUUCCAGUAAGUGUGCCUAUAUUCCAUGUACCAAAGCGAAUCCUCCUGUCAUGAACUAGCUUCUUUACCCACACCCGUUCACGAAAAUGUGGGAACCCUUGCUUACUUUUCACUACAUCCGGGCGGCGAUGCAGCGGCCCUUGCUCUUUUGACACUGUACUCGAGCCAUACAGCGCGUUGCUUCCGGGCAACGACCUAGCAUUCACAUUAUUACGUAAUUGAUCCAUGUCAUAGAGAUUCGACAAAGUUUAACGUUGGCUGUCGAAAGCCUAACACAACCCUCUCCUUUUAUCCGGGCUUGGGACCGGCUAAGAAUAGCAAAGCUACCCUAGGCAGGAUUUUUUCUUAUGAUAACAAACCUCACAAAAAAGUACUAAGUUGAAUCAAUGUAAGCACUUUAUUUCUUUAUAAAGAAAUCCCAAAACAAGAUAAAAUUUAUCUUUCAGAAAAGGUAUAUUCACCUUCUCAAAAUAACUUGCUAAGGUUCUCAUUUUUCCUAUGACAAUGGGCCUCACAACUUCUCUCAAGGAAGGAUCAAGGAUACAAGGAGCAAUGUGAGCUUUACCCAAGACCCUUGCAUGGUACAUGUCCUGAAUAUCUUAUAGGGGUAUUUUCCUAAAUGGGUUAAAGGAAGAGUCAAGGGUGAAUUGAAAGGUGCCUAGUGGAAUACCAAAGAUGAUGAAUUAUGCCCUGUAGAAAGAUGAUAGGAGUUGGAUAUUAAAUGGGGGGAUUUUCAGGCAGUGAAGGAAGGGCUAUAUAUAGAAGUUACACAUCAUACAAAACAACAUAUGAAUUGCUUUCUGGGAAACUUGUAGGAACCAACCCAAAAGAAGGUUCAGUGAUGAAUUCUGCAACUGGCAGAAACAAAUGGUACUUUGACAAGCCAAGAGAGUUUAAGAGAUAUGUUGAUGCAUAAAUGCAGUUGAAUUUCAUCUUGAUGACAAGGUCAAACUUUUGGUAGUGGGGAGUGUUGUUUGAGAUCAUGAUAAUUAUAAAGGGAGAGGGGACAAUUCACAUGUAUAAUUAAAAAUAAAAAGGAAGAUGGAGAGUUAGCUAGGAUAGUUAUAUGAUUUGGUUUUGUUUGAAGGCUUUCGCUUAGUUUGUUUCACUUAUUUGGUUUUUCUUUCGUGUUAAUUAGUGACAGGAUAUUUAACUAAGAUCAGUUGUGGACUUCUCAGUCCCAACUUUGACUAGUUCCAUUUAUGUAUUCAACUAUCAAAGAAUCAACCAAUCUAAAAGAGAUUCAAAAAUAUUCACAUAUUAAUAAGUUAGAGAUAACAUAUCAGUUAGGGAGAUUGGUUGCUAAUGGCUGAGUGUCUGUGCUCCUGUUGCAGGGCUGACAUGGAGGAUUGACAUGUGCCUUAGAGUGCCAUGUAGGGUGCCACGUGUAUUUUGUGGACCAUGGAUAGUACAUCAGCCCCCCAAGCUCUGAGUUGGCUUGUGGGCAAAAGAGAUUUUCUGGUGUCGAAGAAAAGUAUUUGAUGUUUGUGGUUGUUGUCUUGACAAGUAGAGAGCGACUAGUUUGUCGAGCCCCCAAGUGUGGACGAGUGUUUGUCCGAUGUUGGGUGUGGUAACCUCGACAGGUGAGAGAAUUUCAGGUCGAUGUGGCUUGUCAAGCCCCCGAGCCUAGACAAGUGUUGUCUAGACAGCUUCUAUCAAGUUGUCUGGGAUGGACAUGUCUUUGACGUGUCAGGUGAGGAAAGUCUAUAGAUUUGAUAAUUUUACCCUUUUCUGACCGUUGGAAGGGUGCAUUGAAGACAUACAUUAUGUUUUGUCUGCUGCUACAAGCAUCUGCGGCACACAUGCAGUACUCUUGCAUACGUGUCACUCAUGGAGUGGGUACCUACUGGAGUUGUGAUGCGUGGGUGAGUGGGGGUGCAUCGUGGUGCGAAAAUUUAGGGCACCACUUAUGCUCCCACCAGUUACCGAAAAGUUUGUCUUCCUUUCAAAUGGAGUGAACAUUUGAUUUUGGGUCACCGUUACUUUGAGCUAUUGUUUCCUUGCCUUCUGCUUGCGAUCCCUUUUCUUUUUCCUUCACUUUCUUGCGAUCCAUUUUCUUCUUCCUUCACCUCUACGAUGAGUGUCGCUGCUCUUUAACGUUAGGUGAUGCUGGCAAGCCUUGAGAACUCUUGCAAGAUAGUCGUUCAAGCUUGCGGGAGUGAUGACUUUCCCUUCUUGAGGGCGACGUCGAGUAGUCCCCCCUUCUUCUUUAUUUAUAGGUGUCUGUUAGAGGUCUUGGGUCUCAUUCUCCUCUUGACCACUUUCUAGUGUGCUCUACUUGAGCACUUGAAUGUGGUUCCUUCUCAGCUCCACCCAAACAAUUGGGCAAUGGUGAGAGCUUUUGAAAUUUUAUGCCUUUUCUUCAACAUCCAGCCUAUUGUACCAGUCUUUUUGUUUUUCUUUCAAAUGAAACUAACUAGCAAGAUUGAUUGGGUCUUAUUGAAAAACAUGUCCAAGAAGUUAUUUGAGUUCGACUCAAACAUCUUUCGCCGCUUUAAGGAUCGUUUCUUUAAGGUCGUGGUUAAUGGUUUGCCACUAAUGUUCAAUAAGGAUGGGGAGUCCCACUUCCCGUUCUACUGGCAGUUUAACCCUACCAGGCUCAAGUCAUUUGAUGAAGAUCUGUUGACCCUUGUGGAGAGGUUCGACAAGGCUAUUUUGGAGCAAUUGUCGGUCUCGCUGGACUCGCAGGCCAUUCUGUCACUUUCCUCAGUGAACGUCCCCAUGCUGCCUUGGACUGUAAAGUGCUUAACCUUGUCCUUUUUUGUGUUUGAGGUUGGUGUUGGCCAAAACUAACACUUGCUUGUGAUGUUGUUGCUUAUUUUGCAGGUAUUAUGGGUGACUUUGCUUGGAGGCAACUCAUGAAGCAGGUGUUAGUCGCUAUUCAUGGUUUUUUUUUUUGUAGGAAUUGUACAUAUUUUUAUGUUUAAUGUGAUUUUAUAGAGUAGAUACUCUCAUUCUGUGAAUUAAUGUUAAAUCCAACUCAAUUUUAGGCCAAAGAAAAGAAGGUUCAAGUAGCUUAUGACUCGCUUAGCAAGGCAGAUCCGCUCAGCGAGUGACAUCUGCUUAGCGAGGCAUACAACUUGCUUAACGGGUUGGGAAACCCUAGAAGAGGAUCAAUCAAAGAUGUGCUCACCCAGCGCACAGCCAGCUCGCCCAGCGAGGACGUUGUCUCUGUUGGCGCUCAUCGCGCCCAGUCUCGCUAAGCCAAAAUUCACUUACUCUCGCUUAGCGAGCCUUCGGAAGCUGAAAAGUCUAAGAGCCUUUAUAACACUGAGGUUGGCAAAAUUUCAUGGGAGAGAGUUUAGAGAGCGCAUUUUUUGAAGAACAGAAGACAGAAAGAGAGUAGCAAAGAGAGCUUAGGUUAGAAGGAGUGAAGUUUAAGGGUUUAAAGGUUGUAGGAGACAUCCUCAACCAUCUUUUGCCAUUUUCUUUCACUCGAAGCUAUUCCUUCCUUGUAUUGUGAGAUUGCAUUGCUUGUAAUGGAAGGCUAAUCCUCUUUGUUGGGGAGUUCUGCUGAAAAACCUUGAUGUAACAUUCUUACACUAUCUAUUUAAUGUUAUUUUUAUGUGUUCAUUGCUUCUAUCUAUGCUUAUUUUACAUGCUUGUGGCUUGAUCAUCCAUUUGUAUGUACAGUUAGGAUUUUUAGCAUUGGGAAAUGCUUUAAAGCCUUAGAACUUGGUAGAGCAAUUUAGAAAUCUAUAUGUCUAGGAAUGGAGUGCAGUGAUCUAGUCCAUAUUAUGCUGUAGGCUUAAUGCAACUCUUUUAGACUAAGUUUGUUGAGGGAUUAAAGACGAAGUUUAAAGAGAGUUAGGCUCAUUCACUAGAGGGAUCUUGGUUUGAGUAGGUUCUCAGCAUAAGAACACUAGGAUAAUGUUAAAUAGAGAAAAAUAUGUAUUAAACAUUAAGGGAAAUUCAGUAGAACAACUCAAGGCUUUUUACUUGAUAGUUUUCACCUUCAUGAUUUUAGAUAUUUAGUUUAUGUUCAAAUAGAUUUUAGUACAGAAUCCAACUUGAUAUUUACCUUGUUUUUAAUCCCUACAAAUGUUUGCAUACUGAAUGUACAAUGUCUGAGUGAAACAAAUUCCCUGAGGAUACGAUACUCGGUCUUACCGUUUUGUACUACUUGAGCGAAUCGGUACACUUGCCGACUAGCGAACAGCAGGUCGAACCUGUGGGUGAGACUGUGUCACCGUUUUCUACUAUUCCUAUUGUUGGAGAAAAAGGUCAACCUAUUGGUAAGGUUGUCCCUAUUGCUGCUCUGAGGUCACCUCUGGUGCCUCUUCUUUUGUUUUGGCAAAGAGAAAAUAAGAUGACGGUGUUGGGCCGUCUGGCCAAAAAAAGUCGAAGACCUAUAUGAACCUUCGAGCCCUGAGGCAGGCUGUAGGGUUGGCGCUCGAUGUGGGUCACCCUUCAAUUAUGCAGGGUGUGCCUCCGGCUUCAUCGACCAUCGAGGUUCCUAUUGUUGAUGCUGCUACUCCUAUUCCUUCAUCUCAUUCUGUCGUGGUUGUUCGGGAGACUGCUUGUUAGUCGUCAUUUACAACUAACUUUUGUAUUGAAAAGCUUCAUGAAAUUUAUAUCUUUUCCCCAAUUUAUGGUUCUUUUUGUAGGUUUGUACAUAUUUUUUGUUUAGUUUAAUUUUACUAAGUAGAUACUCCCAAUAUUAUGAAUUAAUGUGGUUCAACUUCAGUUUCAGGCUAAAGGAUGAAGAAGAAGAAGGUUGAAGAAGUUGUUGUCUCGCUAAGCGAGGCAUAUGUGCUUAGUGAGUAAUAUUCGCUAAGCGAGACAUUCAGCUCGCUUAACGAGUGGGAAGAAUUUGGAAGAGAAUCUUUAGCUCGCUCAACGAGUCAUUUGUCUUUUCUCUUGCUCAGCACGCCCAACUCGCUGAGCGAAAAUCCACUAACUCGCGCUUAGCAGGAAAAUGGCACUAAGUGAGCCUUCAGAAUCAAAAAGCCCUUAAAAGACUAAAGUUGGCAAAAAAAAUAAGGGGAGUUCAGUGAGUUUUUGUGAAGAGAGACGUAACAGAGCAAGAGAGAAAAACUUGAACGAAAGGCCUCAACUUUCAAGAAGAUUUUAGGUUUAGGAGUGAUUGUUAGGUUUCUAGAGGUGGAGGAGACAUCCCCACAACUUUGUAAUCUUAAUUUUCCCUCAAAAACUUUAUCUUGGUGCGGAAAGGUGCUAACAUGCAAUGGAAGGCUAAUUCUCUUGUUGGGAAUUUCUGCUUAGCUUUGAUGUAAAACUUUUCACUAUCUAUUUAAAGUUGUUUUUAUGUGUUCAUUGCUUCUAUCUGUAUGUAAUUCUUGCGUGCUUGUGGCUUGAUCAUCCAUUUGUGUGUAAAGUUAGGAUUUUUAGCAUUGGAAAGUGUUUUAAAUCAUUAGAACUUGAUAGAGCAGGCUAGAGAACUGUAUGUCUGGACACGGAAUGCAGGGAUUUAGUUUAUAAUAUGUCGUAAUCUUAAUGCAAAUCAUUUAGGCUAAGUUUGACGAGGAAUCUAGAACGAAUCUUAAAUAGAAUUAGACUCAUUCACUAGAGGGAUAUUGGUUUGAGUAGUCAUUUUCGGCAUAGAACACAGAAACAACCUUAAAUAGAGAAAAACACUUAAUUACGUCAUUUUGUUCAGUAGAAGGACCCAACGUUUGAAUCAUCUGUUUAUCUCUCACAUUUAGAUAGUUAAUUUUGUAGUUAAAUUAGAACUAUAGACAUAACUUCUCUUUAUAUUUACUAGCUUUAUACAAAUGCUUACCUACUGAAUGAAUGCUCCCUAAAUGAAACAAGUUCCCUAUGGACUCGACACUCGGUCUUACCAUUCUAUAUAUUACUUGUGCGACUCGGUGCACUUGCCGAUUAGCAUCACUGACCAGUGAAACAAGUAUUUUAGCGAGAAGCGAACAAAGUUUUUGGCGCCGUUGCCGGGGAACUUCUUUCCAUUUGGGAAGUAUAGUUCAGUUUGUAGGCAUUGAUUCUUUAUUCUUUGAUUAAUUUUUGUGUGAAUAGUUAGCUGAAAUUUAUUUUUCUCUUGAUUAGGUUGACUGCUGCUCUUGUUAGUGUUUUGUAUGCGAGGUAACCCUUCUACAGGUGAUUUAGCUUCAUUGGAUUUGGAGAUAGAAGCCACUUGUAGGAGGAACAACAUAGAUAGAAGAAGGAAAAUACUGCAGGACAAGACAACACCACCAAUUCCAGAGGAACCUCAAUCAUUUGAGUCGUCUUCUAUUUUUCCAGAGCCAAGAGAAUUAGAAAUAGGUGCAUCUGAGGCUAACAUAAUGGUUGAAGAUCAAUCUAGGAGGGUUACCCUUGAAGAUUACUCUAGCUCGACUAUGCCACAAUUCUUCAUAAAUAUAGUGUGGCCAAAAGUUCAAGCACACAACAUUACAUACCCUCACUCCUUAAUACAGUUAAUUCAGGGAAAUCUAUUUCAUGGCUUGCCGAACGAAGACACAUAUGCACACUUGGCAACAUACAUUGAGAUUUGCAAUACAUUCAAGUUUGUCGGUGUUCUUGAGGACGCAGUGAGGCUGAGUUUGUUAUCUUUUUCAUUGUUUGGAGAAGCAAAGAGAUGGUUACAUUCAUUUAAGGGAAACAGUCUAAAGACUUGGGAUGAAGUGGUGGAGAAAUUUUUGAAGAAAUAUUUCCCUGAGUCUAAGAUAGUUGAAGGAAAAGCAGCCAUCUCUUCAUUUCACCAGUUUCCGGAUGAGUCUCUAAGCGAAGCACUUGAACGAUUCCGUAGCCUGCUGCGGAAAACACCGACUCAUAGAUUCUCAGAACCAAUUCAGCUCAAUAUUUUUAUAAAUGGGUUAAGGCUGCAGUCCAAUCAACUGUUGGAUGCUUUUGCUGGGGGGAAGAUCAAAUUGAAGACCCCGGAAGAAGCCAUGGAACUCAUUGAAAACAUGGCUACAAGUGAUCAUGCCAUCUUGCGUGAUUGGACUCACAUUCCAACAAAGAGAAGCCUGCUGGAGCUUUCCUCUUAAGAUGCAUUAUUGGCACAAAACAAGUUGUUGUCUAAGCAGCUUGGACAUUGACAGAAACAUUGAGUAAGUUGCCUAAUCAAUUACAGGUUAAUCAACCUUCACAUUCAGUUGUUUUGCAGGUUGGAGGUUGCAGCAUAUGCGGAGGAGCUCAUGAAUCUGGACGCUGUAUUCCCCUGGAUGACACAUCCUAAGAGGUAAAUUACAUGGGAAACCAAAAUAGGCCAGGAUUUAAUGCAGGUGGAUAUGCAGGUUACCAACAAGGUUCCAAUUAUUACCAACAACCUUGGAAAUCAGUUCAACAAGGACCAAGGCGGAUCAUCUAAUAGGCCUCAGAACCAAGGGCCUAGCCUCUAUGAUAGAACCACCAAACUGGAGGAGACUUUAGCUCAAUUUAUGCAGGUUACAAUGUCAAAUCAUAAGAGCACCGAGUCUGCCAUUAAAAACCUGGAGAUUCAAGUGGGGCAGCUAGUCAAGCGAAUAACAGAGAAUUCUUCUAGCAAUUUUGGAGCAAACACUGAGAAGAAUCCAAAGGAAGAAUGCAAAGCUAUCAUGACGAGGAGCAGAAAGGAAAACCUGGUUGAGGAUGAGGGAAGGAUUAGUGACAAGCAAGAGCUUGUGAUUGAAGAAGGAGAAAAAGAGGAAGAAGAGGAUCAGUUGAUGGAGAACAAAAUAUAUGAUUGUGAGAAAUAAAUAAAUAAAGAAAAAGAAAAAGAAAAAGAAAAAAAAUGAAAAAAAUAGAGAAAGUGAGGGAGAAAGGAAGACAAAGAGUGAGCUUGCAAGAGAAAAGAAGAAAGAGGUUGUCUCAUGUACUGGGAAGGAAGCACCAUACCCUCUGGUGUCAUCAAAGAAAGAAAAGGAGCGACAUCUGGCUUGUUUCCUUGACAUCUUCAAGAAAUUGGAGAUAACCAUUCCCUUUGGAGAAGCCCUAUAGCAAAUGCCACUCUAUUCUAAGUUUUUGAAAGAUCUGCUGACCAGAAAGAGCAAAUACAUCCAUAGUGAUAACAUUGUGGUGGAAGGGAACUGUAGUGCGGUGAUUCAAAGAAUCCUUCCACCUAAGCAUAAGGAUCCUGGGAGUGUUACUAUUCCUUGCUCUAUUUGUUCGGUGUCGUUUGGUAAAACUCUCGUUGAUUUGGGGUCCAUUAUAAAUUUGAUGUCUCUCUCCAUGUGCAGCAAAAUUGGAGAGUUGGAGAUUAUGCCAACUACAAUGACACCACAACUUGCAGAUCGGUCUAUUACAAGGCCUUAUAGCGUAAUUGAAGAUGUUUUGGUUAAGGUGCAGCAUUUUACUUUCCCUGCGGAUUUUAUUCUGAUGGAUAUUGAAGAGGACGCUGAAAUUCCCUUAAUUUUGGGUUAUCCCUUCAUGUUAAUCGCCGAUUGUGUGGUGGAUAUGGGAAAGGGUAAGCUAGAAAUGAGCAUGGAUGACCAAAAAGUCACAUUUAACUUAUUUGAGGCAAUGAAGCACCCAGAUGAUCACAAGGCCUGUUUUAAAGUAGAAAAAGUGGAACAUGAGAUAGAUAUGGUAGCUAGAGCCAUGGUACUGUAGUCCCUACUUGAAAAAGCAUUGAAUAACACUAUAGAAGGUCUGACAAUAGAAGAAGAAAAAGAAGUGCAGACCUAUUUGGAGGAAUUAGAAGGUGUAAAGAAGGACAAUCCAGCGAAAAAGGAUAAAGUGGAGUUGAAGACCCUUCCUGAACACCUGAUGUAUGUAUUUAUAGGAGAAAAUGAAACCAAUCCGGUGAUCAUCAGCAGUUCUUUGAGGAAGGAAGAGGAGGCUCAGCUGGUGAAGGUUUUGAAGAAACAUAAGGCAGCCAUUGGAUGACACAUUUCUGACUUGAAAGGAAUCAACCCAUUUUACUGUAUGCAUAAGAUCAAUAUGGAAGCUGACUAUAAGCCUGUAAGACAGCCACAAAGAAGACUUGAUCUAGUUAUGAAAGAGUAAAUGAGGAAGGAAGUGCUUAAAUUGCUAGAAGCAGGGCUCAUUUAUCCCAUGUUAGAUAGUUCUUGGGUUAGUCCUGUGCAGGUGGUUCCCAAGAAAGGAGGCAUGACAGUUAUUAGGAAUGAGAAGAAUGAUUUAAUUUCCACAAGAACUAUCAUUGGCUGGAGGAUGUGUAUUGACUACAGAAAAUUGAAUGACGCCACCAGAAAAGAUCACUACCCACUUCCAUUCAUGGAUCAAAUGCUUGAGAGGCUAGCAAGGCAAUCAUUAUAUUGCUUUUUAGAUGGAUAUUUUGGCUACAAUUAAAUUGCAGUAAACGUAAUGACCAAGAGAAGACAAUAUUUACCUUCCCCUUUGGUGUGUUUGCCUAUAAGCGAAUGCCUUUUGGCCUUUUCAAUGCUCCUGCAACUUUUCAAAGUGUAUGAUGGCAAUCUUUGCCGACAUGGUGGAGAAAUGUAUAGAAGUAUUUAUGGACGACUUCUCUGUCUUUGGCUCCUCUUUUAACUGUUGUCUAUCCAAUCUAGAGAGAGUAUUGCAAUGGUGUGAAGAAACCAACUUGGUGCUUAAUUGGGAAAAAUGUCAUUUUAUGGUGCAAGAAGGCAUUGUGUUUGGUCAUAAAAUUUCUGCAAGGGGGAUUGAAGUAGAUAAAGCAAAGACUCAUGUGAUCAAGAAGCUGCCCCCUCCGGUAAAUGUUAAGGGAGUAAGAUGUUUUCUUGGGCAUGUUGGGUUCUAUAGGCGAUUUAUAAAGGAUUUCUCAAAGAUUGCCAAACCGCUCAGCAAUUUGCUUAACAAGGAUGCUGUGUUUUUGUUUAAUGAAGAUUGUUUGAAAGCAUUCAACACUCUCAAGACUAGUCUAGUGUCCGCUCCCAUCAUUACAGCGCCUAAUUGGGGCCAAGAAUUUGAGCUAAUGUGUGAUGCAAGUGAUUAUGUUGUAGGUGUUGUCUUGGGCCAGAGGAAAGGCAAAGUAUUCCAUGCUAUUUACUAUGCUAGCAAAGUUUUGAAUGAUGCUCAGAUCAAUUAUGCUACCAUAGAGAAAGAAAUGUUAGCAAUAGUUUAUGCAUUGGAGAAAUUCAGGUUAUACUUGGUGGGAUCGAAAGUUAUCAUCUAUACUGAUCAUGCAGCCAUCAAGUAUUUGCUAAAUAAAGCUGAUUCCAAGCCUCGGUUAAUUAGAUGGAUUUUAUUACUUCAGGAGUUCGAUCUAGUUAUCAAAGACAAGAAAGGCUCUACAAAUCUGGUAGCCGACCACUUGUCAAGACUGGUUAAUGAGGAGGUGACUUUGAAAGAGCUAGACAUAAGAGAUGAAUUUCUCGAUGAAUCCCUGUUCAUGAUAAAUGAGAGACCUUGGUUUGCUGACUUGGCUAACUUCAAAGCAGUUGGAAUUAGCCCUAAGGAUUUGACUUGGCAGCAAAGGAAGAAAAUCCUACAUGAUGCUCGUUUUUACAUCUAGGAUGAUCCACAUUUGUUCAAGGUUGGUGCUGACAAUCUUCUGAGAAAGUGUGUAACAAAGGAGGAAGCCAAGAGCAUAUUAUGGCAUUGCCACAAUUCACCAUGUGGAGGACAUUAUGGUGGAGACAAAAUAGUAGCUAAGGUCCUACAAUCAUAAUUCUUUUGGCCAACACUCUUCAAGGAUGCCUAUCAACAUGCACUACAAUGUGAUCAAUGCCAGAGAAUGGGAGGAAUUUCCAAAAGAAAUGAAAUGCCCCUGUAGAACAUAAUGGAAGUGGAAAUCUUUGACUGUUAGGGAAUCGACUUUGUAGGUCCCUUUCCCCCAUCCUUUGGCAAUGAAUAUAUUCUCGUAGCUGUGGAUUAUGUCUCCAAGUGGGUAGAAGCAGUGGCUACCCCAAAGGAUGAUGCCAAAACUGUAGUAAAGUUCUUGAAGAAGAACAUAUUUGCUAGGUUUGAGGUGCCUCGGGUCCUAAUCAGUGAUGGUGGCUCUCAUUUUUGCAAUAGCUAGUUGCAGAAGGUGCUAGGCUAUUAUAAUGUCACACACAAAGUAGUUUCACCCUAUAACCCUCAAACAAAUGGCCAAGCAAAAGUCUCCAACAGGGAAUUGAAGAAAAUCUUGGAGAAGACUGUGGCUUCAACUCGGAAGGACUUGGCAAACAAGUUAGAUGACGCAUUAUGGGCAUACAAAACUGCUUUCAAGACCCCUAUAGGCCUAUCUCCAUUCCAAAUGGUUUAUGGGAAAUCCUGUCACUUAUUGGUGGAAAUGGAACAUAAGGCAUAUUGGACCUUAAAAUUUCUGAACUUUGAUGGGGGUUGCAUCAAGGGAAAAGAGGAGAAAAGAGGAAGAUAAAGCUCUUGGAGUUGGAAGAAAUGAGAUUGAAUGCAUAUGAGUCUUCAAAGUUGUACAAGGACAAAGUGAAGGCUUACCAUGAUAAGAAGUUGCUCAAGAUGGACUUUAGCCCAGGACAACAUGUGAUGUUGUUCAACUCAAGAUUGAAGUUAUUCCAAGGCAAGGUCAAAUCCAAAUGGUCUGGACCAUUUACAAUCAAGGAAGUCAGGCCAUAUGGAGCAAUAGAAUUGUUCGAUCCUCAGUCAGAGACUCCAGAUAGGACAUGGGUAGUAAAUGGUCAGAGGUUGAAGCUUUACCAUGGUGGAAGCAUUGAGAGGUCAACCAUCGUCCUUCAUUUACAAGACACAUGAGGUAAUAUGUGUCAAGCUAAUGACGUUAAGCGAGCGCUUACUGGAAGGCAACCCAACUCUUUUUAUUUUCAUUAAUCAUUGCAUAUAAUUAGGAUCAACUUGUUUAUGAUUGCUUGAGUAAGUCAUCAGCAUGUUUUGCAUAGAGAUAUGGGGUUGUCAAAGCUUCUUUGAAGCUGUGGAUGAAAAAUAACUCAGAAAAUUUUUCAGUCAUCCACUCACUCAACGUGCCCUGUGCACUAAGCAAAUCAUCAUGCAUGCGCUGAGCGAGUCAUUACUCGCGCUAAGCGCAUCAACCCCUACCCAUUGGAUGAUGGGGUCUCGCUAAGCGAGCCUUGUGCACUAAGCCUAAAAACCUCUUUGAAAUUGCAUUUAAUGGAAUUGGGCUAAGUGAGUCAUCUCGCUAAGCGCACAACAUAGUCUCGCUAAGCGAAACUUUGCGCUAAGCGCAAUUCCUUCUCUGUCUGGACCAUCAUGUGAAUUGGGCCCAGCGGGUCAGCCCGGUAAGCCCAAAUCCCUCUCGGGUAUGGAAUUGCGCUAAGUGAGACGGUCUCGCUAAGCGUGCCCCACUACUACAUUAGGAAGCAUUUAAUUCGCUAAGCGGGCACCUAUCCCGCUAAGCGAAAGUUGCAGACCAAUCAAAGCUGCAGAUCAUGCUAAGUGCAUACCUUUCGCGCUAAGCCCAAAUCCUUCUCGGGUUUUCUAAUUUUCGAAUUAGGCUGAGCGAGUCUAUCAUACUGAGCACGUGAAUUUAAAAUCUGAAAAUUCAAAAGUCACUGAGUGCUUGCUUAGUGAGUCACUCGCACUAAGCGAGACAGUUGAAACUGCCAAAAAUAAGACUUAACUGCUCUGGGCAGUUUCUUUUAUGCAAUUUACAAAUUUCUUCUACUUGCAUCUUUGUCAUUUCUGUACUCAUAUGCACUGCACACUCACUUUCUCUGCUUCUUACUCCCAACUUGCAUUCUCUACUCACUGCAAUCCAAGUAACUACUUCUCACUUUGCCUUUUUAAUUUUCAUUUAUGAACCUUAGGAUAGAAGCCAUGCUUAGGUUUUCAAAGCUUUGAUUAUGUGUUGAUUCUACUGUCAUUAGGGUAGUUAUUAAAAACCAUGUUCUUAGGGGUUUUGUUUCGCACAUAAUGUAUGUUGUUUUGCUGUGAAUUGCUUAGGUUUUGAGGCCUAAUAGAGGCCUAUAGUUGGGGGCUGCAAAGCCCCAAUUUUUUUGGAAUUCUCGAUGUUCUCGCUAUGCGAGCCCGUUCGUUAAGCAAGUUCAUCAAUUCUUGAUGAAUUUCUGGGUUUUUUGAUGAACUCGCUAAGCCAGCCCUGUCCCGCUAAGCGUGUUCAUCAUUUUUGUUUAAAUGUUUGAAUGUAUGUAUGAAAUCGCUAAGCCACUGCACUUUAGCUUAGCGAGUGCUUAAAUUUCCAGAUUUUGUUUUUAUGUUCGUAUGAACUUGCUAAGCUAGCAUAUCACGCUUAGUGAGUUGUGUUGCUUAGGUCAGAGUCAACGAGGUUGUUAGUCUUCUGUUGGUGGCUAAGCAAGUCAGUCUCGCUAAGCCACCAUGCCUCUAUAGCUUGAAUAAGCCUGGGCUAAGCAAGUCAGUCUCGCUAAGCCUAAGGCAAUUUAGUUUUCCGAGUUUUUGUUCAUGUGCUAAGCGAGUUAGUCUCGCUAAGCGCAAUUUCUUCUCUGUUUUGGAAUUAGGCUUAGCAAGCCUGCUCGUUAAGCCAAUUAUGUUCCAGUGGUCAAGUUUGGCUAAGCGCUUGCUGGCGCUAAGCCUGUAUAGUGUGUCACUCUAAGUGAGUCAGUAUCGCUAAGCGCAAUUAGCUCUCUGUCAGAGAAUAAGGCUUGGUGAGCCAUGCUCGCUUAGCCAUUAUGUUGUUUCAGCUAAGCGAGUGUGUCUCGCUCAGCCAAAGUCUGUGUUUUUGUGUUGUCGUGCUAAGCGCGCCCUGUGCGCUAAGCGUGUGCUGUUAUUUUCAUAAGCGAGUCAGUCUCACUAAGUGCCCAGUCUGUUUUUCUGUUUUAUUUUUCUAUUUUCAGUUUGAGAUAAAACCUGUCUAACUUGAUUCCUGUGAUUCUUUUUUGAUGCAGAUGGCCUCCUGGAAAAGGAAAUGCACCGCCUCCCGGCCCUAGGAGCCUUAUGACACUACCAGAUUUAUUUCUGAGGCUACCUAGGAGAGGUAUUCCCAGAAUGUUCACUCUCGGAACAUCCUUCUGGAGAGGAACGUCACUCUUUAUGUCACAGAAUAUGAUGAGUUCCGCUAGGAGCUCGAGAGGCGAUGUUGGCAUAAAGCCUUGACCAGGCAAAUGGAUGGGCAUAUAAUUGAAGCCCUGGUCAAGGAGUUUUAUGUGAAUUUGUAUGAUCCUGAAGACAAAUCCCCCAGGCAAGUCAGAGUGCAGGGGAAGCUAAUCAAGUUUGAUGCCAUCUCUCUUAAUGCCUUCCUGGAGACGCCACCAGUUCUUCAGCCAGGGGAGCAGUACACUUCUUAUUCCAUUUUCUGUUGAUCAUGCCCAAAUCCUUAAGAGCUUGCUUCCAAGCUCUGCAUUCCAGGGCGCGGAUUUGUUUUGAAUGCUGAAGGGGCACCCUGAAAGCUCCUGAGGAAGGACUUGACUACUCUGGCACAGACUUGGAGUGUCCUGUCCUAUUCUAACAUCGCCCCCACCACUCACACGUUCGAUCUGAAUAUAGACCAAGCAAGGUUAGUUUAUGGAUUGGUUAUGCGAAUGGACAUGGACUUUGGCUUGCUCAUCCCAGGCCAGAUCUCACAGAUGGCCCAGUCUAACUCCUAUCGACUUGGCUUCCCAACCCUCAUCACUGCUUUAUGCAUCGCCUAGGGAGUCGUCUUAGAUUCACUAACAUUUGAGUCCCUGAGCCCCGCCAUUAACUUGGCAUACAUCUUGAAGAAUUUUUGGAACCCAGAUGAUCCUUCGAUCACCUUUCCGGGGACCCGUAAGGCUCGGGCUUGGGGACCAUCGAAUGCUUCUGCUCCUUCUUCUUCUUCUUCUUCUCCAGUUCCAGCCCCAUUUUCUUCUGCUCCAAAUUCUACUUAUGCACCUCCAGUACCUUCCGGCCCCUCCGCUCUAAGCUCAGACGCCAUGGUGACGAUGUUGUAGAGCCUUCACCAAGGCUUAUGCCUAGUGAUGCAGAACAUUCAUAACUUGGCUCAGCAUCGACCCAUCAUUAGCAUGGAGGAUUUCAUGGCUCGGGUGGUCUGGCCAGGAGUCCAACCUUCUCCUUUGGGGGGAGGUGAGGCUCCUACAACCCAGGAGCCGCAGCCAGAGGCACAGCCCACGUCGGAGGUCACAUAGGAGGCUACACCAGAGGUCUCACCUGCUGCCACACCACUUGUGGAGGUCUCUUAGGAGGAGGAUGGUGCUGCAGACACCGAUUAUGCAGCUAAUAUGGUAGCAACAUAGAACACUUGGGAUCCCUGGCCCACAGCAGCACAGAAGACAUCUCAGUCAGCUCAGGAUGCUCCUUCCUCACCUUGGGAUGAUCAGAUACCGGUGCAGGAUGAGUGAUGACAGGACUAUCAUUUAUUUUCCUACUUUAGAUACAGUUUUAUGUUUUUAGUUUCAGUUUAUUUAGUUAGCAAAUUUCAAAUCUUCUUGAACAGUUUACAUUCAUUUAUGCAGUGGUUGUUUUGGUUUGGAAUUUCAGUGUUUGUGAAUGAUUUGAAAUUGAUCAAUGGCAUGAAUUAAGUGAAUUGUGAUGAUUAGAUCACGUGCUUUGAAUGAGUAUGCAAUAAUUAGAAGAGAAAGAACAUGAAUUAGGGAUGUGAGUGAAAAUGUUAGUUGGUUUGACAGGUAAAUUGUGAAGGUAAUCAUUAGCCAUAAACUGGUGAGUUGUGUGAACCUUAAUUGUGAGAGAAUGACUAGCAUUGAGUACCGAUUUUUGCAUGAAUCUCUGAAUACUGAAUGAAUGCAUGAAUUUGGAAAUGAUGAAGGUCAUGAUUGAUUGAAAUAGCCACUUAGCUAAAUAGUUUACCUUGUUCAUGAAUGAAUUAUCCUUUGCACCCACGUUGAGUUUAAACUUGAUUGAUUAAAUUGAACCCUGAGCCUGUUGAAGUGUAAUCUCCAUCUACCUUUUCUUAGGUUGUAGGAGAGCAUCAUGGUUCAAAGCAAAUUUGUCCCAAAUUUGGGGGAGGAUGUUGGGUGACAAUAAUUGUGGUAAGACAAAUAACAGCCACACAAAAAUAUCAGAAAGUAGUAAGUAAAAACUGCUAAAAUAAAAAAAAAAAGAAAAAGAAAAAAAGAAAAGAGAAAUUUCAAGAAUAAAAGUAUGUGUGUGUUGUUACUUAAGCUAAGUGCCUUAAAUGUUGAUUGGCAAGUCAGUAGAAGCUGGGAAUAAAAAGAAAAAGAGUUGAUCUAAGGAUGAAUGCUCUCCUAGAACCUAAGUUUUGCAUCCUAGAAAAACCAUGAGUUGUUUGCAGCCUAGCCUCAUUACAAGCCAAGAAAGUCCUUCAGAUUCAAUUUAUGUGUUUGUGAUUGUAUGGCAUGAGAUGAAAUGCAAAAGUUGAGACUUGUGUUGGUUGUUGACUGAAGAAUUGCCUUAAACACUUGUGCUUAUGAGUGAAAUAGUGACAAUGAGGAUUUGGCUUGAUGAACCUUCCUUGAUACCUAUCUUGCUUGCUAGAUUAUUUCACUUGUGUUGCUUAAUAACCAUGUUCAGAUCUUUGAAAUUCUGCAUAUCUUUAUGAGAAGUUGUUGGUUGAAAGCAAUGUUUGCCACUUGUGUUCAUAUGAUUGAAUGCUUUGGAACAAACACAAUUUUUAAUAACCACUGUGAUUUUGUCACUUGAGGACAAGUGAACUGUUCUUUCCUUGCUUGAGGAUAAGCAAAAUUGUAAAUUUGGGGGAGUUUGUUAGUUGUCAUUUAUGACUAACUUUUGUAUUGAAAAGCUUCAUGAAAUUUAUAUCUUUUCCCUAAUUUAUGGUUCUUUUUGUAGGUUUGUACAUAUUUUUUUUUGUUUAGUUUAAUUUUACUUAGUAGAUAUUCCCAAUAUUGUGAUUUAAUGUGGUUCAACUUCAGUUUCAGGCCAAAGGAUGAAGAAGAAGAAGGUUGAAGCAGCUAGUGUCUCGCUAAGCGAGGCAUAUGCACUUAGUGAGUAACAUCCGCUAAGCGAGGCACUCAGCUCGCUUAGCGAGUGGGAAAAAUCUAGAAGAGAAUCUUCAGCUCGCUCAACGAGUCAUUUGUCUCUUCUCUCACUCAGCGUGCCCAGCUCGCUAAGCAAAAAUCCACUAACUCGCGCUUAGCAGGAAAAUGGCGCUAAACGAGCCUUCAGGAUCAAAAAGCCCUUAAAAGACUAAAGUUGGCGAAAAAAUAAGGGGAGUUCAGUGAGUUUUUAUGAAGAGAGACAUAACAGAGCAAGAGAGAAAAGCUUGAACGAAAGGCCUCAACUAAAUUAUGUCUAGACACAGAGUGCAGGGAUUUAGUUUAUAAUAUGUUGUAAUCUUAAUGCAAUUCAUUUAGGCUAAGUUUGACGAGGAAUCUAGAAUGAAGCUUAAAUAGAAUUAGACUCAUUCACUAGAGGAAUCUUGGUUUGAGUAGUCAUUUUCGGCAUAGAAACACAUAAACAACCUUAAAUAGAGAAAAACACUUAAUUACAUCAUUUUGUUCAGUAGAAGGACCCAACGUUUUCAUCAUCUGUUUAUCUCUCACAUUUAGAUAGUUAAUUUUGUAGUUAAAUUAAAACUGUAGACACAACUUCUCUUUAUAUUUACUGGCUUUAUACAACUGCUUACCUACUGAAUGAAUGCUCCCUGAAUGAAACAAGUUCCAUGUGGACUCGACACUCGGUCUUACCGUUUUAUAUAUUACUUGUGCGACUCGGUGCACUUGCCGAUUAACAUUUCUAACCUGUGAAACAAGUAUUUUAGCGAGAAGCGAACACUGCUCUUGUUGUUGCUGAAGUUAGUAUGCCAACUGCUUUGGUUGGUUCUGUUAUGGCACCAUCGUCCACCGUCGCUACACCUUUGUUGAGUGUCGGUGUAGAGACCAUCAGUGCUCUUGUGGUGUCUCCUCCUUCCUCUUCGGCUCCAAUGGUCAUCCCUCCACUGCGUUGGCGGCGACAUCACCUUCUUCGUCUUCUUGUCCCCGUGUCUCCUUGGAUCAUUUGUACACCUUUAGUGAUACUGAUUCACUAUGGGGUACAAGUUACAAGCUGGAGCAGAAGACCCCAAUUGGCUUUGUUUUAGCCUUUGAUAAGAACCUUAUUAGGUCAGCUGGGGUGCAGAAUGCUACGCAUUUUGCCAAAGUUUUUCUUUAGAGAAGUUUGGCGAUUCUGGAGGAGAACGGAUAGUGGCACCAAGAGGCUUUGCAUAAGGUGGCAUCCUUGGAGGCAGAGGUCGCCAAAUGAAGGGCUACUGCUCGCACAGUUUGGAGAGUGGACCACCCUAAGGUGACUAAUGCCACCAUAGCCUUUGUUAAGGUCGUAAGGUCAAAUCGCCAACUGCCUUCCAAAGUUGGUGGUGUGUUGGCCAAGUUGCUACGCACCAAGUUGGAUGGUGAUGAAUUGUUCAAAUGCUACAAGGACUUGUAAGUGGAUAAAAGCUACCUAGCUAGCAAGAUGGAGGGCAUUGUGGCAGAGAGGGACGAGCUUGUGAAGGUGAAUGUUGAUUUAAAGGCUCGACUUAAGGAGUCAAAGUCUCGGUUAAAGGAGUACGAGCUGUGGGCUGCCUAGGAAAGGGAGGCCAGCAAGAAGCUUAAGGAGGAGUUGCUCGUUUACAAGAAGGAAGCCAUGGAGCAACAUGAAAAAGGAUUCAACAAGGCCGUCAGGCAGGCCGAGUUCUUUGCCAAGGACCUUGACUUGGGUCUCUUUGACCUUUAAAGGAUGUGAAGGACGAUGUCUUGCUUGACGAGGAAGAAAUUGUUGUGGACAAGGAGGCUAUUGAUGAAGAGCAGAGUGCUGAGGAGCAAGGCGAUGAUACUUGUGUCUAGGUUGCCUUUGCCUUUACCUUUCUUCUUUUCUUCAUUGUUAGAAUUUGAGUCAUAUAGGCCUUGUAACUAUGACAAUUAUUUUUAUUUUUCCUUAAUGCGUAUGUCUUCAAUGCACAUGCUUUCCUUCGAUGGUGAAUUUUUUCCUAUGUGUAUGUUAUGUAUGUUGCCUUUGUCUAUGCAACACUCUAUUACUUGUGGUAGUAUGGAUAGGCCGUCGUGAUGGUAAGUAUAGAAUCUUUGAUGGCAAAAGUAUUUACGCUGAAUACUUGUUCCACUGGUCAGUGAUGCUAAUCAGCAAGUGCACUGAGUCGCACAAGUAAUAUAAAAUGGUAAGACCGAGUAUCGUAUCCACAGGGAACUUGUUUCAUUCAGAGAUCAUUCAUUCAAUAGGUAAACAUUUGUAUAAAGCCAGUAAAUAUAGAAAGAAGUUGUGUCAAAAGUUCUAAUUUAGCUACAAAACUUACUAUCUAAAUAUGAGAGAUAAACAGAUGAUUAAAACGUUCGGUCUUUCUACUGAACAAAAUGAUGUUAUUAAGUGUUUUUCUCUAUUUAAGGUUGUUUCUGUGUUCUAUGCCAAAAACGACUAGUCAAACCAAGAUCCCUCUAGUAAAUGAGUCUAAUUCUAUUUAAGCUUCGUUCUAGAUUCCUCGUCGAACUUAGCUUAAACGAAUUGCAUUAAUAUUAUGACAUAUUAUAAACUAAAUCCCUGCACUCUGUGUCUAGACAUACAGUUCUCUAGCCUGCUCUAUCCAGUUCUAAGGAUUUAAAAUACUUUCCAAUGCUAAAAAUCUUAACUUUACACACAAAUGGGUGAUCAAGCCACAAGCAUGCAAGAAUUAAAUACAGAUAGAAGCAAUGAACACAUAAAAACAACUUUAAAUAGAUAGUGAAGAUUUUUACAUCAAAGCUCAGCAGAAAUCCCCAACAAGAGAUUUAGCAUUCCAUUACAAGUUAGCACCUUUCAGCACCAAGAUGAGGUUUUUGAAGGAAAAUUAAGAUUACAAAGUGGUGGGGAUGUCUCCUCCAUCUCUAAAAACCUAACAAUCACUCAUAAACCUAAAAUCCUCUUGAAAGCUGAGGCCUUUCGUUCAAGCUUUUCUCUCUUGCUCUGUUUUUCGGCUUUGUUACGUCUCUCUUCCAUAAGAACUCCCUAUUUUUUCUCCAACUUCAGUCUUUUAAAGGCUUUUUGAUCCUGAAGGCUCGCUUAGCGCCAUUUUCUCGCUAAGCGCGAGUUAGUGAAUUCUCACUUAGCGAGCUGGACGCACUGAGUGCGAGAAGAGACAGAUAACUCGUUGAGCGAGCUAAUGGUGCACUGGGCGCGUGCAUGAAUGGCAGAUUUUCUUCCAGAUUCUCCCCACUCGCUAAGCGAGCUAAGUGCCUCGCUUAGCAGAUGUUACUUGCUAAGCGCAUAUGCCUCGCUUAGCGAGACACCAACUGCUUCAACCUUCUUCUUCUUCAUCCUUUAGCCUGAAACUGAAGUAGAACCACAUUAAUUCACAAUAUUGGGAAUAUCUACUCAGUAAAAUUAAACUAAACAUAAAAAUAUGUACAAACCUACAAAAAGAACCAUAAAUUGGGGAAAAGAUAUAAAUUUUAUGAAACUUUUCAAUACAAAAGUUAGCCCUAAAUGACGACUAACAACAAGAAGCAAGACCUUGGCAAUGUAGAGGUAGGACUGUGGUGGUCUUGCAAAAAUUAGAUGACAAGAAAUCAUCUCAGGUUUGAUUUCAACCUGGUUAAAGGUCUUGUCACCCAUUUGGUAGGGCUUCCUUUUGCUUUGUGGAGCUUUUCCCCUGAUGUUUGUCAGAAGUAUGUUUGACUUGCUCCUGGUUGAAGGUUUUGCUAGCCAGUUUGGGGGUAGGUCGUGUAACCUGCGAAGCUUCUCCUUUAAUGGUUAUGAAGAGUAAGUAUGACUUCCACUUGAUUGAAGGUCUUUCAAAAUAGUCUAGUGGUAGUUCAUUUUGUUGAAUUUGGACCUUUGACGAUGGUCAUCGUAGUUGGUGCAAGUGAGCAGACCAAAGGGGUGCCUUGGGUUUUGUAGGAGUACUUACCAAGGGUGGACCUUGGGGUUUGGAGGAGUGUGUUCCAAGGGUAGACCUUGGGUUUUUGAUAUACUUGUAUUCCUGCACAGAUAAAAAUUAGUAAUAGAGAAGAUCAUUAAGGGUAAACCUUGCAUACCUUGAGUUCCUAUGGAGAUGGAACUUAGUAACAAAAAGGGCUCACCAAGCAUGAACCUUGGGUUUAUCGAGCCUUGGACCGGGGAUGUAUUUGCCCUAGGUUUUAUCAAGCUUGUGGAGCUGCGUCGAGGCUUACCAAGGAUGAGCCUUGGAUUUUGUGAAACUAUAAGAAUUACCAAGCAUGGAGCUUGGAUUUAACGAGUCUUAUGUGCAGCAAAAGUGUUGUGCACUUGCAUACAUGGCACUAGCCGUGGAUGGCAUGUACUAGAGAUGUAAUGGUGUGCUCUUGCAUACGUGCCUCUUACAAAGUGACAUGUAUUAGAGACAUGGUGGUGUAAAUUAGUAGGACCCACCAAGGGUGGACCUUGGGUUUUACGAUCCUUUUGGAGGAUUAACCAGGGGAUUGUCUGACUUGGGUUUUGGGCAUCAUGCUUUUGCAUGCAUGCCACUUGCCAUGGGUGGCAUAUACUAGAGUCAUAGUAUUGUGCUCGUGCGUACAUGUCGCUUGUCGUGGGUGACAUGUACUGGAGACGUAAUAGUGUGCUUGUACGUACAUGUCACUCACCGUGGGUGACAAGUACUCGAGACUUAGUAGUGUGCUCAUGUGUAUAUGUCACUCGCCGUGGGUGACACGUAUUGGAGACAUAGUAGUGUGUUCAUGCGUACAUGUCACUCGCCGUUGGAGGCAUGUACUAGAGAAAUAAUAGUGUGCUCGUGCGUACAUGUCACUCGUCGUGGGUGGCAUGUACUGGAGAUGUAGUAAUGUGUUUGUGCGUACAUGUCACUCGCCACGGGUGGCAUGUACUGGAGAUUUAAUGCUAGAGGGAGGGCUCACUAAGGGCAAUUCUUGGGUUUUAAGAUCCUUGGAGCUACGACUAUGGAUGCUCGUCUUGAUAAGGGAAAUGUGAGAAGGGGUGUAAAAUUUUUAUUCAAUGUAUUUGAUUAAGUACAAAUUACAUUAAUUAUCCUAGAUGUGCCUCGUUAAAACCUCUCAAGCCAAAACCCUGAUUUUUCUAUUUUUGGGACAAAAGACCUGAGUAGGAAAAAAGUACAACAUUGGGUUUGCAUUUAGGUCAACUGAAGUAAAACUUUAGGUGGGUGAAGUUCCACGUUCUUGGAAUUGCUUUGCCAUCUAGGUCUUGUAGUCUAUAUGCUCCGUUGCCAAGGUUGGUUGUGACCCUGAAUGCUCGUUCCCAGCUGGGGCCAAGCUUUCCCGCUUGGGAAUCUUUUCUGGCUUCACCUUGGACUCAUCAUACAAUGUCACCAGGUUGAAAGGCUCGUGGUUGAACCUUUGCAUUGUAUCUCCUUGCUGCUCGGAGCUUGGCAGCUUCUUCCCUGAUCCUCGCCAUAUCUUGGACUUCGUCUGUGGUUUCGAGUUCUACCUUCAUAUUUUCUUCAUUUUGCUGUUGAUGGAACAACAAUCUCCUUAUUGACAGUUCCCUGACUUCAACAAGGAUCAUGGCGUUUGUGCCAUAUGUGAGUCGGUAAAGAUUUUCAUUGGUUGCUAUCUGGGGUGAACAGUGGUACGCCCAGAGUAUGCUGGAGAGCUCCUUUUUCCAUAGACCCUUAGACUUGUUGAGUCUAGUACGUAGCACCCUAAGAAUGACUCUAUCAAUUGCCUCUACCUGACUAUUGGUCUGAGGAUGUUCGACAAAGGUGACUAGGUGCUUUAUGCCUAGCCUUGUCAAGAAGUCUUUGUAAGUCUGAGCUUUGAAUUGAGUGUUGUUGUCUGUGAUAGUGGCAUAUGAGAGGUCGUACCUACAGAUAAGGUGUUUCCAGGUGAAUUUCUCCACCUCGUUGGCCGUAAUUUCCCACAGUGGUUUUGCUUUUAUCCAAUUGGUGAAGUAGUCGAUAACAACUAGCAAGUAUUUGACUACUCCUGGGGCCUUUGGCAGUGAUCCCAAUAUGUUCAUUCCCCAGGUGGCGAAGGGCCAAGGGGAGCUUAGAUUGUGGAGAUUGUUAGGAGGGGUGCAUGGCAGAUCUAUACCUCCUAGUAAAGUUGAUGGUGUCUGCCCUGAGUGUUGGCCAAUAGUAGUCGGCUCGCACCACUUUGGUCGCAAGGGAGCAUCCUCCGUUGUGGAGACCACAUAUCCUUUCAUGAAGUUCUCUCAUGACGUAGUUUUCCUGUUAGGUGUUUAGGCAUUUGAGUAGGGGUGUUGUCAACCCUUUUAUGAAUAGCUUGCCAUCAAGGAUAACGUUGUAGUUGGCCUUUCAUUUGAGGCGUCAGGCUUCGUCCUCAUUUGGUGGUAGUUCCCCUCGAAUUAGGAAGUUCUUGUAGGGGGUCAUCCAUUCUGGUUCCUCUUCUUCUCUAGCCAUAACUUCCUCAACAUCUAUGGUGGGAGUUUAGAGGGUUUCCCAGAUGAUAGUCUUGAGGUGCCCGACCUUUUUGGUGCUGGCCAGCUUGGAGGGUCUCCCUGGGUAUGUAGUACAUUUUGAAACAUUCAAAAUUUUCAAUGAAAGUCUUCAUGAUGUGAUAGUACUUGAGCAACAUUGUUUCCUUAGUUUGGUAUCUCUUAGCAACUUGUCCUUGGACAAGCUGCAAGUUUGUGUAGCAUCGUAACCUCUUGGCUCCGACUUCUCUUGAUGGCUUCAAACUUGCAAUGAGCACCUCAUACUCUACCUAGUUGUUUGAGGCUUUGAAAUUGAGCUUGAGGGCUUGCUCUAGAGUGACAUUGUUAGGGCGUUCGAGGAUGAUUCCUGCCCCGUUUCCUUUUACGUUGGACACACCAUCAAUGUAAAGGUUCCACUAGUCUGGGAUGGUUGUGUCGUUUCCAGUGAAUUCUGUUAGAAAGUCAGUCAUGAAUUAUGUCUUUAUGAGGCUGCGAGGUUUGUAGUCGAUGUAAAACUCUGAAAGUUUGACGAAUCAGGCCACCAUCCUUCAUGAGAGUUCAAGCUUUAGCAAAACUUGCUUAAUGGGGUAGUUCGUUUUGACGACCACUUGAUGACUCUAGAAGUAGGGCCUGAGUCGUCGGGCCAAGGUAAUGAGUGCUAGCGCUACCUUUUCUAUCAUUUGGUAGCUCUUUUUAGCGUCAUGAAGUGUGCAACUGGUGAAAUAAAAAGGGAGUUGGUGUUUCCCUUCCUCUUGUACGAGCAUUGAGCUAAUGGCUUUGUCAGCUACUGAGAGAUACAAAAGUAGGGGUACUUUUGGCCUGGGUCAACUCUAAACUAGUGGUGUGGCUAUGCUCUUCUUGAAAGCUAGGAAAGUUUGUUCGCAAGUCUCAUCCCAUAGGAAGGGCUCAGGAUUUUUGAGCAAUUUGUAAAAUGGCUUUGCCUUUUCAGCAAGCCUCGGGAGGAACCUAGACAUGGAUGCUAGCCUACCAUUCAAUUUCUGAACUUCAUAGAUGUUAGUUGGGCUGCACAUCUCUAGUAUGGUAAUGCAUUUUUUAGGGUUGGCUUCAAUUCCCCGGUGAGUGAUCAUGAAGCCAAGGAACUUUCCUCCGCCUACCUCGAUAGUAUAUUUUUUGGGGUUGAGGCGCAUGUCAUAUUUACAGAGUUCCCCAAAGACUUCUUCCAGGUCUGUCAUGUGUUGAGCUAUGCUUUGAGACUUGACGUCCAUGUCAUCCACAUAUAUCUCGAUGUUUCAUCCGAUCCACUAUUUAAAGACUCGGUCCAUCAGUCGUUGGCAUGUAAUGCCUGUGUUUUUUAGGGCGAAGGGCAUGACCCUGUAGCAAAAGUUGGCAUCUUCUGUGAUAAAUGUCAUUUUCUCUUCGUUUGGAGCAUGCAUCCUGAUCUAGUUGUAUCUUGAGUAAGUAUCCAAGAAGCUUAGAACCUAAAACACGGAGGCUCCAUCGACUAGCCUGUCGAUAUUGGGCAAAGGGUAUGCAUCUUUGGGGCACGCCCUGUUUAGAUCAGUGUAGUUGGUGUACAUUUGUCAUUUGUCGUUGGUCUUUUUGACCAUGACGACGUUGGCGAGCCAAGUGGAGCACCUAACUUCUCUAAUGAAGUUAGCGUUGGGGAGUUUGUCGACUUCUUCUUUGAUAGCUUUGCAUCGUUCUUCACCCAUCUUUCUUUUCUUUUGUGAUAUUGGUUUGGCUUGGGGAUAGAUGGAAAGUUUGUGGAAGAUGAUGUUGGGAUGGAUUCUCGGCAUCUCAGAUGGGUGCCAAGAAAACAAAUCAAAAUUUUUGUGUAACACAUCAGCGAUGCACCGGUGCUCAUGGCUGGUGAGGUCCCUACUCAGCUGCAUACACUACCCAGGUUUAGGUCCGAGCUGCAGCUUGAUGAGCUCUUUGAUGGGUUUUGGGCCUUUGUGUCACACGGAUCUAUGUCGAAUUUCUAGGCUUGCUUGGUAGACGGUCAGGGCUCGGAUUGGAGACCCUUUAUUCACGCUCAUGACUUGAGUGCCUUCAGCUAUUGUGGGGUGAGGAUAUGGUGCUACCUUCAAGCUUUUUGCAUAGCAUUGUUGUGCUUGCUUUUGUUCUGCCAUGACGGUUAUUAUCUCCCUGGUUAGGGUAUGGAAUUUCAUUUUCAAAUGGGGCAUGGAGAUUAUGGCUCUAAGCUCAUUAAGUGUCUUCUUGCCGAUUAAAGCAAAAUAUAAUGUAUCUGCAUCAACAAGUAGAUAUCUUAUGGUGAAUCUCCUAGAAAGCUUGCCUUGAUCGAAGGUGGUCAUUAAGUCAGUAUAGCCUCUGGUCUCUACUCUUUCCCCUGUAAAGCUGAGGAGUGGACCAGCGUGAGGGUGGACAGUGUCGGGGGAGACCUCGAGUGUCUGGAAAGUUUUUAAAUACAAGAUAUCAGUGGAACUGCCCUGGUCGAUGAGGACCUUAGACACCAUGAAGUUUGCAAUGAUGAUGGAGACAACCAUGGGAUCGUCCUGGUUGACGAGGUUGAUACCCUUGAAUUCCCUAUCUGUGAAGGUGGUAGGAAGGAGACUUCGUUGUGAUGGUGCAUCGACAAAAUUGAUGUCGAUGUUUCGAAUGGCGUGAAGAUGGCAUUUUCGGGAUUGUUCGCGGCCAGCAAGUGUACCGGAUCACACAAGUAGUAUAAAAUGGUAAGAACCAAGUAUCGAACUCUCGGGGAACUUGUGUUAUCUGGAAAGCUAUUUCGGUAAAUAGGUGUCUGGUAUGAAAAGAUGAUUGUGGUUAUGAACAGGUAUGUAAACUAUCUAUGCAAAAAGAAAGAAAAUCACGUAAGAGAAAUGUUGUAUAAAAACAAGUAGAGAACAGGUUGGUCUUCCUAAUAGGUUCCUGAUGCUAGAACGAAUGUUCUCUAUCUAACAAUGCCCAUGUAUUCCUAUGUUGUCUCCUGGAUUGUUAGACCCCGAUUCCUCAUGAUAGCCUAGCCUAAUCCAGAUCAAGCCUCGUCCGCAGAUUCUUCUUGUAAGACUAAACUCAACCAGGACCGCAUUAAGACACACAUACACAACUAAGUUCUUGUACCCCGAUUCCUCGUGACAGCACAACAACUUAGCCCCAUACUAUCAAGGACUUUAGAAUCAGACUAGUUUCCACUGUUGAAUGACCCUAACAAAGCAUGCAUCUACGUGAUCAAGGUAAAGGCAUACUAGAAUGAAAAGCAGAUAGCACAGAGAACACACAAAACAUCAUUACAGAGAUAGAAAUAUAUUUACAUCAGGUACCUACAGGGAAGAUCCAAUAGAGGAUUUAGCUUUCCAUGGUUCGGAAACCUCCUUUACAACACAGAGAAGAACAAGAUGAAAGAUAGCAAAAAUACAAGUGGUGAGGAUGUCUCCUUCACCUCUAGGAUCUCACAAUCACUCACAAACUUAUCUCAAGUUCUCAGAACGACUUCCGCUUCGAGCUCUCGUCUCUGCAGAUCUUCACACAGCAAAAUCUCUCAGAACUCUUUGGAACUUGGACCUUUCUCUCUCUAGAACUUCCUAAACAUGCAAAGCUUCAAGCCAAGGUUAGACUCUCGUGCAUGUAGAGGCUUUUUCAAGAAAAAUGCCAAACUCCCUCAAAAAAUCUGAUUUCAAGUUUAAAUAGGUGGGUUGGUCCCUACUCGCACGCUUAGCGUAAAUCUGAAUCGCUUAGCACGCAUAAGUGGAUUGUGGCUUACCACGCUUCUCUCACUUAGCGGAUGAGCUGAAGUGGUGCGCUUGAUGACCUGGAGUGGUGCCCUCAGCGAACCUGACAGAUCAUCUUCUUCUAGAUUCUUCCUCGUGCUUAGCCAUUGAGUGUCACGCUUAGCGAAUGCUCGCUAAGCCAGCAGAUUGGCUUAGCGAGAAGGUGAAAACAACAUUUUUACCAAUUUGCCUAAUUAACCUGAAAUUAAGAGAAAUUGAUUAUUAAACACACAAAACAAAAGUAUAAAUUAUCUAUUAUCUAUAUUUAACAUAAAGUACUUAUAAUAUUAUAAAACAACUAUAAAUUGGAGAAGUUUGAUACAAUAUACACAAGUUUUAUACACAAAAGUUAGUCGUUUUCACAGACUAACAGGGACUAGUUGGACUAUCCUCAAUAGGAAAAUCCGCCCGCAAUGGUGUUGAUUCACCCCUAAUUUGUUAGGCGGAUUCCUGUUCUUGUGGAGGUUGUCGUUCACACCGUUGUUGUUGGUGUCUCUGUCUUCCUCGGUCUUCCGCUCUAUCUCUUCUUCUAUUUGCAUUGUGAAUCCUUUAUUGCUCCUCUGGGUCUUGUUCCAACUUGGUAGUUGUCUGGCCUAUUGACAAACUGGGCUAGGUACCCAACUUGUAUAAGCUUUUCUAUCUUGUCCUUAAGGGGCCAACAAUCUUCUGUGUUAUGACCAAUACCGUGAUGAUACCUGCAGUAUUUGGUUACGUCUAACCCCGACCUAGGAGGUUUCGUUGGGGGUAGCCUGAUGGGAACCUUUAAGUUGAAAGCUUCCUCUAGAAUUGUAGUGUGAUUAACCGUUAGGGGUGUGUAACGCUCAUACCUGGACCCUUUUGGGAAAGGUUGAUGCUUGUCUGACUUGUGUAAGUCGGUCUUGGUACUUCUUUCUCACUUGUCGAGCUUCUGUAUGACUUGUUUGACUUCAUUCUUGAAUUUGGACAUUUUUCCAUCUGGAUGUAGCCUUUGGCUUACUCGCGCAACUCGUCCAUGCUAUCAUGGAUUUUUUUUUUGCACAGAUUGUCCGCAAAAUUGUUGGGGUGUAGGGCGAGGAGCAUGGAAUGCAACGCUACCUUAGGGUUAAGAUUUUGGAUUUGGACGAUUGUGCGCCCAAAUCUAUCCAUGAAUUUUCUGAGAGACUCGUCAUUUGCUUGUCACAGACUGGCUAAGGCAGUCGAGGUCAUACAGUGAGAUCUACCGGUUACAUACUGCACACUGAAGUGUUCAAUGAGGGUGUCGAAGCUGUCUAUAGACCUAGGUGGUAGUUCGUUGUACUAGGUCAAUGUCGCCCCCUUAAGGGACAUUAGGAAGACAUGACAUAGAAUCACAUGUCAUCAUUAGUGUAUAGGUUCGCCCGAGUCAGGAAGGCAUUUAGGUGCUCAUCUGGGUUUAUGGUCCCAUCAUACCACUCGAGGUUGAGUGGUUUCCACCCCAAGGGUAUGUCAGCCUCCAUGAUGCAGUCAACAAAGGGAUGUUGACGAGUAGUCCGCCCUACUGGACAAUGCAUGUGGGAGAGACUUAAGUCAUCUACAGUGUUGACUGUGCGUCGGGGGUGUGAUUCCCCUUGGAUGUGCUCAAGCAAUGUGUGAGCGAAGUGCUCAUUGCCUUGGGGACGUCUGAUACGAGCCUCCAGCUGAUCAUGGUCAGCCUUUAGCUUUCUCAGCUCCUCCUCAUAGCAUUGCUCCUUCUCCGUAAUUCGGUUUUGAAGUUGCUAUAGAGAAUUUGUGUCUGUCAUAACUGCCGAAUGAGGAUGAAAGUCUUCGAAAGGAGUCUUGCGUCUAAGGCUAGACCAAGUGCUAACCAUGGGUGAAAAAGGAGAGAGUUGAUGAGAGAUCGCGGGGUAUAUUUUACCAUGUCCCCACGGUGGGUGAUAAAUGUACUUACCAAAAUCCGAAGCUAGGACACAUCAGGCUAGACGUGGCCAAUGUAGGCUCUUGAACUUCACACGUCGACUUAGAGAGGCACCUUUGUUAAGAGGACAAGAGGGGGGACCUGCAAAACAAAGGACUCUGAUGCUCAAGUAAGUAUAUGAGUUAGGAGAUAAAGCAAGUGUAUGCUUAAAUGUAGGCUCGAGUGAGCAAUAGAGAGAGAUAAGCAUAGGCUUGUUGCUUGUGUGCUGGUGUGUGUGGCAUGUGUUGAGGGUUCAGUGGAACCUAGUAUUUAUAAGAGUGGAGCAUAUUUGUGGAUUCUUGUUGGUAGGGGCUGUUAUAGCCUUUGCAGAUAAUUCUUGACUUAUAGAUAAUAGCUGAUAGCUUGUAGAUAAUGUUAGAGAUAAGCUGUAGUUUAUAGAUAAAAGCUAGAAAAUAACUGUACUUUGUAGAUAAUGUGUGGCUUUGUAGAUAAUUAAAUACCUGCCAGUAGAUAAAGAUACUCAAUUAUAUUCAAAUAUUAAUAGGUUAGAGAUAACCUGUUAGUCAGGGAGCCUAACUGCUAAGGGCCGAGUGUUCAUGCUCCUGUUGCAGGGCUGACGUGGAGGGUUGACACGUGUCUUAGAGUGUCAUGUAAGGUGUCAAUUAUAUUUUGUGGACCCUGGACAGUAAAUGUGAUUUCAUAUUAUUAAUUGAUUCAAUUGUUGUUGUGGUGCGAUUUUAAGAAUUAUUAUUGGAUGCAUGAAAUUAGGGAGUUUGUUGGUAGUUUUUUUAAUGGUAUUCUUAUAAUUUUGUAAGUUGAUCAUCACCUUCUGGGAAAGGAUGAUGAUAUACAUUUUAUUAUGAGAUUAUAAUGUUAUAUACCUCCAUCUGGGAUGAGAAUAAUAUUUAUUUAUAGAUACUCCCAUCUAAGAUGGGGGAGAGAUUCUAGAUACCUUCAUCUAUGAUAGGGAAGACUAUGAGACACCAUUACAUGAAAUAUGAGCUCAUAAACUUUUUGAAGAAUCUGAAAUCUACACUGAUUUUGGAAACCAAAAAAUUGAGUCUUGUGAUUCUGGGAAUCACUAAAUUAUGUCUGUUAUAUUUAUUUGAAUACACUGAGGUAUUGUUGUUUAUUUAAAUAUUUUAUUUAUUCAGAAUGUCAUGAAUUGUAAGUGUUUUAAUCUUAUUUUUAUUAGAGUAUACACACACACACAAAAUCUUAUUUUAAAUUCAUUAUGGAUACCAUGACUGAUUUUCGGAUUACAACGCCAGUUGAGAACAACAUUAUUUACAAAACUCUAAGUUUGUUUUAUUCACUAGGAUUAUCAUCUCAUUAAAAGUGUUGUUUUCAAAGCACAAGGAAGAAGUUUUUGGAAUUGAGGAGGCUUGAAAACUUAGUUACCUUUAAAUACAUUUUUAGCUUUGUUAGUACUCAGAAUAAUAUGUCGAAUGUGACUGAUUACGUUAUACUUUUAGUGUCGGUUAUUUUUAGAUACCUAUAUUUGAGAGUAAUAUUUUUACUUAUGUAAAGACUUAUUUAUUUGACUUUAUUUAUUAUACAUGAGGUAUUUUCGGACUAAUAUAAUUUUGAGAUUUUAUAUUCUUUUUAGUAUGAGUUGUUAUUUUAAUAAAGGCGUUAUGGUGGUUGUAGUAAUAGUGGUGAUUGUGGUGAUGAUAAAUUAAAUCUUUAAAAUAUUUAAUUUUCUAUUUGAUAAAUCUUAUAGAGAUUUUAUAAUUAAACGAGAAUUUAAUUUGAAUUUAAAAUAUUUUAAUCUUGACCUUACAUUUUAAUAUAAUGGAUGAGAAUGAUCAUUCUCAUUCUCACAUAAGAAGAUCAUUCUCACCUAAAACGUCCUUCGAUCUUUCUUUAUGUAUAUGAAACGUCUUCCUUUUUCUUUCUAUAUAAAGGGGAUUAACAACCAACACCAUAAAUAUUUGUAAAAAAAAAAACCCAUUGAAUUCCUUUGUCAUUAACUUUAAUGUAAGGAUAUUAUAAUAAUUUAUGUUUUAAUUUUAAUGUUUACGAGAGAGAAAAAAUGAUUGAUAAUUUAAUGCUUAGAGAAAAUUGUCUAAAAAUUAAUGUGGACAAAGAUGAGAGAAGAAAGAUAAAUAAUUAUUUUAAAAUUGAAUCAUAAAUUAAUAUAAUAUCCUUAAAUUAACUUAUUAUACAAAGGAAUUUAUUGAUUUUUUUUACAAAUAUUUAUGGUAUUCCUUAUAAAUACUUAAGUAUAAAAGUUAUAAUUUUUAUUUUAUAUCGAAUAAUGUGGAUUAACUAUUGACUUAUUAAGUUGAUUCCUGUCCUAAUAUUACGAUCGAAUAGAUUAUCAAUUCGAAUUCGAAUCUAAUAACAGUGCUCAAUAGCAACUUCAUCUAAUAUCUACAUGACAUGCCGCAUCAUUAAAAUUGAAAAUUUGAUCGGAUAUUUGAUCAAAAACAGAUCCAUACAAGUGAUAUCUUUUGAAAGAGAUCCAUUUUGGUAAAUAUUUAGAGAGGUAAAGGUCGAAGUAAAGGUAGAAGUAAAGAGACCCAUGUAAAAACUGACCCAAAUUGGUCAAAUAGCCGUUGUAAGUUAUAACCACGUGGAGUGGAGCAGCGACUGGUAAAGGUAGAAGUAACCAUAGCGAACGUCGUUUUAUUUCUUAUUCCCCACGUUUCAAAAAAACCGUGAAAUUUUCUUAAUCUGUUGGCCUUCUUCCACGAUUCCUCUGACCUUUCUUCUUCACUUUUAAUUUCUGGUCUUCGGUGAUACCCAAUCUAUCUUCCGUUCAAAUCCCAAACCCCCUUCGCAUCCAAUGCCCUAGUUUCGCUCCAUUCUCUCCGGUUCCUCCCCACGAUGUCCAGCGACACCUCCUUCGCGGACCGCAAGCUCUGCGGUUUCCUCUGUACGGUUCUCACACUCACUCCCCGCGACGACUCAGACACCACCGACAUACCCUUCCCCGAGCCAUGCGAAAUCUUCGGCGAAGGGGGCGAGGUCGGCUUCCGGACCCCGAACGGCGUCGUUCUGGGCCCGGUGCUCGAUUCGUUGCAAUGCGGCGGUGGCGGCGGUGGCGGCUCCAACAAGAUCAAGAGAAGGAACAAGAUUGGAAUGGUGAACGGGAGCGUGAGCGUGGUUCACCAGCUCCACGCCAUGGUCACUCGCAAGUGCGCCAGAAUCGACGCUCGCGUGGUGUGCGUUGAAGCGCUUCCUAGGGUUGUGGUGCUGGUUGACGUGUAUGUCCCCGUUCAGGUAUGGAGUGGCUGGCAGUUUCCGAGAUCGGGACCCGUCGCUGGCGCCGUUUUUCGCCAUUUGAGGUUAGCUUCUUCUUUCUCGCCUUCGAAUUCUUUGUAUUUAUGUUUAGGGAUUUAGUUACUAAUAACAUUGCAAUGUGUAGAGAAAGAUCACAUGAACGAUUUUGGUGAAUUCUGCAUAAGUAAUAGUUUGCCAUACUGUAGUUGUUUGAGGUUUUAAUUUUUAAACUGUGGUUGAGUGGUAUUUAUUGGUGUAUGUUUUGAUUAAAGUUUGAAAUCAUAGUGUAGCGUGGUUUUACAGUUUGAGCAAAGUUUUUGAAAUUCUGCACUACUUAGUCCUUUGACAGUUAGUCAGUUACCAUGCUAAAUUUGGCAUUUUUUAAAAAAAAAAUAAAAUUAAGGAAAUAAAUAACUAGUUUAGCUAGAUGUCAUGGUUUUAAUUGAAGGACUACAAGUACAUACUACUAGAGAUGGUGUAACUGUUUCAUGUGAUGUUGUCUGCGAUUUGAAUCUUUGGUUAUCUUAUUGCUUGUUUGGUCACGUGUGUUGGUGUGUAUUUAUGUGUAAAUCGAGAAGCUGUGAAUUGUAGCUUUCAUGUUAUUCUACAAUUUGACAUGAGAUUUUACAUGUAUAACAUAAAUCUGAACAGACUAUAAAUACACUAUAAUUAUUUAGUGGUGUGGAUGAGAUGGAAGAUAGUUGUAACCUAUGUAACUGAUGUAAUGUUCUUGCAAGGGUAGUUGCCGGAUUCUUUUAGCUACUCUGCAUACUAGAGAGUAGAGACUAUUGCCUUGCAAACACGGUAACUUUGUGGUCACAUGUUUCAUUCCUGAUGGGUUAUAUGAAUAUCAUGACAAUUAUUGAUGCAUUGUGUUGAUUUGCAAAAACAUUGUUUUUUCUCUUUUGUACAAGAUGAGAGAAAACUCAACAUUUCUUUCUCUUUCCAUUUCUAUUUUUAAAGGGGGGGGGGGGGGGGGGGGGGGGGGGGUUAAAAUGCAUCUCAGAUCAUAAGAUCCUUCCUAAAAUGCAAAUACAUAACUCAUAAUAAAGAUUAAAAUUCAAUACAUAACACUCAACUCAAAAUAGGUUCAUAAGUCAUAACAUAACUCAUAGUAAGUUCAUAUUACUUAAUACAUGCACACUAAACUAGGAGAUCAUUCAAAUUAAAAUCAGGAAAGUCAUCUGUCAUCCUCCAGAUGAUCUUCGUCCUCUUUAAUGGCAUUUCCUCUACCUUCAUCAUCAUCAUCAACAAUUGGAGGAACCUCCAAAUCAUCUACUGGUGCACCACCACCUACUAGCUUCUUCUCCUGCUUCAACUAAGAUAGCUUCAUCUAAAGCAUCCAAUUCUAAAUUUGCUUCGUUCUCCACCACAACCCAUUCUUCAUCAGAAGCUUUGGGGGAAAGUUUCAAAAGAAUUUAUAUGAUACAUUGGUAAAAUAUGCAUUCUUAGCUAGUUUCGUAUUACACUACAAAUUGAUCAUUUUAUCAAACCUAAUACCAUCUCUAACAUGAUCAUACAAGAUCACUCACUGGUUUUAUUCUCGGAAUUCUGUAAACAAUAAAUUAAAUUGUCUGCCUUCAUUUUCCUGUGUGAAUAUACUUAACGGAUGUCUUUGGCUGUCUUAGUUAGCUAAUAGCUAAAUGUUUAUGCAGCUGUGAUUGGAAUGAGAGACGUUCAAUGCUUUCAUAUCCAGACUAUUGUAGGAAGACUUAUGGAGCAAAUGAGAGCAUUUGGAACCUUUCUGAUUGUCAUGUACUUGGUUGCAAGCUCCAUUCCGGUGUGAGCAAUUCUUCAAGGAAAAUACUAUUUCAACUUCAUGAAAUUUUUAAGGCACUACCUGGUGUAGGAAAGCGGCAGACAUUUAAUAGUUCCAAGAUAAUACCUAUGGAUAACAUUUGCAGAUCAGGCAUUUGGGAGUUAUCUGAUGAUAUUUUAACUAAGAUUUUAGCUUCCCUGGGCCCAAUGGACCUCACUAGGGUUUCUGCAACAUGUCAUCAUUUAAGAUCCUUGGCUGCUUCGGUAAUGCCUUAUACCAAGUUAAAUCUGUUUCCUCAUCAGAGGACAGCAGUUGAGUGGAUGUUGCAUCGUGAGCGAAAUGCUGAGCUUUUGCCACAUCCGUUAUUUGUAGCUCUCUCAACUGAAGAUGGCUUUAGUUUCCAUGUAAAUACUGUAACUGGUGAUAUUGUUACUGGGGAAGCUCCCACCGUCAAGGAUUUUCGUGGAGGAAUGUUUUGUGACGAGCCUGGCUUGGGUAAGACUGUAACAGCUCUCUCUCUUAUUAUGAAGACGCGAGGUACAUUGGCAGACCCGCCAGAUGGGGCACAAGUAGUCUGGUGUCAACAUAAUGGUAAUCAGAAAUGUGGAUAUUACGAGGUCAGUGUUAGUGGUAAUCACAUCACUGGUUGUACUACCUUGGGUAAGAGGGAUGUGUGCCAAGAUACCAGCAGAACUAAUGAUAACCAUGAUUACUCCUCCAAAAGAGCCAGAUUGAUAGAUCCUGAUCAGCAAAUAACUAAACUUCAUGAUUCAUGUUCCAGGGAAGAAAACAAAUCACCUGUUGAUGCAUGUUUCAAGGAAUCUAUGCAUUCAAAUCAGUUCACUGGGAGUUUGAGUCGCAUAAAGAAAAAUCUACAUUUCACAUUUGAAGAUGAAGCUAUGAUUUCCAAGGAAAGAGAAAUUGGUGAAGGAUUAAUUAAAGCAAAGCAUGCAUUAGAUGUUACAUCUCAUGUAUCUCAAAACAAGUCGCCUGGGAAGCCUAAAGGUGACUGUUUUGAGUACAAUGAUACAUGGAUUCAGUGUGAUGCUUGUCACAAGUGGCGAAAGCUUGUAGACAAUAGUAUGGCUAAUUCUAGUGCAGCAUGGUUUUGUAGUAUGAACACUGACCCUCUGUAUCAAAGUUGUAGUGUCCCUGAACAACAUUUUCAUAAUAUCUGUAAGAUAACACACUUGCCAGGGUUUCAUUUGAAAGGAACUUGUGGAGGUGAGAAACAAAAUGUUUCUUUUUUCACUAGCGUGCUUAAGGAGCACUACUCCUUGAUAAAUUCUCAGACAAAGAAGGCCCUGACGUGGUUGGCUAAAAUUUCAACAGACAAGCUUGCAGGAAUGGAAACAAAUGGCAUCAGGGGUCCUAUUUUAAACAUUUGUACUGCAUCUAAUAGACAUUUCCACAAAAUAUUUCAAGCAUUUGGCCUCUUAAAGAGAGUAGAGAAAGGUGUUUGCAAGUGGUACUACCCUCAACAUCUUAACAAUUUGACUUUUGAUGUGGCUGCCCUUGGCAUGGCUCUCCGUGAACCAUUAGAUUUUGUUAGGUUAUACUUGUCAAGAGCUACCCUGGUAGUUGUUCCAGCAAACUUGGUUGAUCAUUGGAAAACGCAAAUAGAAAAGCAUGUGAGGCCUGGUCAAUUGCGGGUUUAUGUUUGGACUGAUCAUCAAAAGCCAUCUGUGCAUUGUCUUGCAUGGGAUUAUGAUGUUGUCAUAACUACUUUUAGUCGUUUGAGUGCAGAGUGGGGCCCACGUAAGAGGAGUGCUUUGAUUCAAGUGCAUUGGUUUAGGAUAAUUUUAGAUGAAGGGCACACUCUUGGGUCAAGCCUGAACUUAACAAACAAGUUGCAAAUGGCUAUUUCAUUGAUAGCUUCAAAUCGAUGGAUACUAACAGGAACUCCAACGCCUAACACUCCUAACAGCCAACUUCCUCAUCUACAACCAUUGCUAAGGUUCCUUCAUGAAGAAUCUUAUGGACUGAAUCAAAAGUCAUGGGAAGCUGGUGUGCUUAGGCCAUUUGAAGCAGAGAUGGAGGAAGGGAGGUCUCGUCUGUUACAUUUACUUCAAAAAUGCAUGAUUAGUGCUAGAAAGAUAGAUUUACAAAGCAUUCCACCAUGCACGAAGAAAGUUGUUUAUCUAGAUUUUAAUGAGGAGCAUGCUAGGAGUUACAAUGAAUUGGUAAUCACUGUACGACGUAAUAUAUUGAUGGCUGAUUGGAAUGAUCCUUCACAUAUUGAGAGUCUACUGAAUCCAAAACAGUGGAAAUUUCGUAGUGCAACUUUAAAAAAUGUGAGGCUUUCAUGCUGUGUUGCUGGACAUAUUAAAGUUACACAUGCUGGAGAAGAUAUUCAAGAAACAAUGGAUAUGUUAGUACAAAGUGGUCUGGACCCUACUUCAGGAGAGUAUACCUCCGUAAGAUAUAAUCUCUUGUAUGGUGGUCACUGUGUCAGGUAGUACCUAGGUUUUAUUCUUUCUUGUGGCUUUAUUUUUCUUCUGGUUGUUGCUGUUUAUUAAUUUUUUUCUUAAUAAAUUGUGAAGGUGCAAGGAAUGGUGUCGCCUUCCACUCAUUACCCCAUGUCGGCAUCUGUUGUGCCUUGAUUGUGUUUCUAUAGACAAUACCAAGUGUACUUAUCCUGGCUGCAGUAAAUUGUAUGAGAUGCAGAGUAGAGAGGCCCGACCUGAAAAUCCUAAACCGAAGUGGCCUGUACCCAAAGAUCUUAUUGAGCUACAACCUUCAUAUAAGCAGGCAUGGUUAAUGGAGAACUCAGUUAACAUUCAUCUUUUUUUCCCUCUUUCUGGUUUGCAAUGCUAACAUGCAAUGUUGAUUAUUUAAUACCCAGGAUAAUUGGGAUCCUGAUUGGCAAUCUACAUCUAGUAGUAAAGUCUCCUAUCUCGUCCAGAGGUUGAAAGCUUUGCGAGGAACCAAUGAAGAGACAUACUUCAAUACAGAAAAUAGCAAUGAUGAUUUGCAUAUUGAGAAUAGUUUGCAUAGAAGUGAUGACAAAUCAUCAAUUCAGACAUGUUCUAUGAGCAGCACUAAGACCAAUUUGAACCCUGAGAAAGUUCUGAUAUUUUCUCAAUUUCUUGAGCAUAUACAUGCCAUUGAACAGCAGGUACAGUUUUAUGCCGCAUUUUGUGUGUGAUCUUUCAUGAAUUGUUCUAUUUUAUUUUUUGGCAUCUGUGAAUUCUUUUGCAAAUGAUCAAACUAUUAAAUUGGAUUUCUCUUUGGCAGUUGACUAUUGCUGGUAUCAAAUAUACUGGAAUGUAUAGCCCAAUGCAUUCCAGCAACAAGGUAUAAUGCUGGAAUUUUCUUUUACUGUUUCUUAAAAUUAAAAUUUACUUUUGGUUUCUGACCGUUGGUUAAUUUGCCUUUUCCUUUUCCAGAAGAAGUCAUUAGCCAUGUUCCAGCAUGAUUCAAAUUGUAUGGCACUUCUGAUGGAUGGAAGUGCUGCAUUGGGUCUUGACUUGAGUUUUGUUACGCAUGUAUUUCUAAUGGAGCCAAUUUGGGACCGAAGGUUAAUAUAUCAAACUAAUAUAAUUUGCAAACAAGAAUAUAAAAUUAAUUUUUUAUUGCUUUUAAGACUGAGGGAUAAAAUGAUUUUGAGAAAUUUUAAAAUUCUACAUUAUUUAAUUUUCUUCUCAAGUUGAGCAUAGUAAAAUUUUCUGUGAACUUUCUGUGUGGCUAAUAUGCAUUGUCAAUACUGAACUUUUCUGUUUUGGGAUUUAGCAUGCAAACUGGAACCAUGCUGCAUAAAGUGACUGGCAGUGUAUCUCUUGGUUUCCCAAUUUGCUGGAUCCUUCUACUUCAACCGAAAUUGGCAUGUUUAUCCAGUUUAAUUAUUUUCUAACUUGACCAAAAUGUUUUCAGUAUGGAGGAGCAAGUAAUUAGUCGUGCUCAUCGUAUGGGUGCUUCUCGUCCUAUUUAUGUGGAAACAUUAGCAAUGCGUGGUACAAUUGAAGAGCAAAUGCUAGACUUUUUACAGGUAAAUCUCUAUAAAUUGAACUAUCUUACACCUAUUUGAGUGUACUACUAACAAUGAUGGGUCUCUUUGAAGGCCUUGUUAGUUUAUGUUGUCGUUCAUGUAUGUCACUGAAAAUUGUCUCCUCAAUGUCUUUUGUUUUGUUUAGCUUUUAUAUUGUUGUUGUUGUUCAUCUUUCAAUUUGUUGAUGGUUUAAGCAGGAUGCUGAUAACUUUAGAAGAUCACCAAUUAAGGAUGCUACCGAAUCUGUUGAUGAUAGUGGGGGACGAGGAUAUAGAUCAUUGCAUGAUUUUGCUGAGAGUAGUUAUCUACUGAAACUUAGAUCUGUGUAUACUAAUUUGGAAAGUCCAAAAGGUUUGUACAUACAGUUUUUCCUUAACUGUUUUUUGUUAGCAAACAUAGAUUCAACAGAAAGAUGAGUGAUAUUGCAUUUGAGAAAUUGAAUGCGAGUAGUUUUUAUGACUUCUAUUCCUUAACUGUUUAUUUGAAAUUUUUGCCUGAAACAAAAAGUAAAAAGGUUAUGGUUAUGUUUUCGCCUAAACUGACUAAUAAGAUGCUUUAAAGUUUAUAAGCCACCAGCUAAAAGUUUAUAAGCUUGCAUAUUAAAUUAUAAGUGUUUUGUAAAAUUAUUGGAAUAGUUGGUAAAUGUAAAAUAACAUAAACAUAUUGUAUAACUGUUUUAUGUGAAUUCUAUUUUUGUUUUGUAGUCAAAAACAUUUAAUUAAAAGCUAAUUAAAUAGUUCUGUUAAAGUAAAUACUAAAAUAUUAUAUGAAAUAAAUAACCCAAAAAUUAAUAAAAAGAGAAAAGUAAUUAAAAAAUAGUUACAUAUGAACAAUGUUGAAGAACAGAUCGAGGGUAAAGGUAUAUUAAAAUAGUAAGGAUAUAAAGGAAGGAAAAAAUAAACUACAUGCUUAUAAAUUAUAAGCUACCUGAAGUAGCUAUAAGUUAGUGAAAUAUACUUGUUUACCAAAUACCUUAAUUUGGUCAAACAAAGCUUACAAUGUAGUCAACUAAGUUACAAGUUUGCUUAUUGGACAUGCCAAACACACUAGAUGUUUGGAAGUGAUAAAGCUGUUGAAAUCCUACUAUGAUUUUCUUUUCGAGUGAAAGAAUCAAGUGAUACUUGCAUUGCUCAAAAGUCACAAGUUAUUGUCAAUUCACUUGGUGAAUUUUGGUUAAAUGAAAUAUUGUACUCCCUUCGUCCCUAAAUAUUAGACUCUUUUAAAUGAUUCACACCCUUUAAGAAAGUUAGUUAAUAUAUUUAAUAGUAUUAAAAUUGUUAACAAUUUGUUUUAUUUUGCCAAAGUUACCCUUAAAAUUAUUGGGACUCAUAUCUUUCCUUUCACUUAAUUACUUCCCCACUUAAUUAAUUAAUGUGUGUUAAUCUUAUCUAAUCCUUAUAAGAGAAAUAAUGAUUUAUCUUUUUAGUACAUAACAUUUAUUGUAAAGUAAUUAAGAGUAUUUGGAUCAAAAUAUAAUUAAUGCAAAAGACAACUUGAAACAAACAUAAUUGAAAAAAGACUCUUAUAUUUAGGGACGAAGGAAGUAUGUCCGAGCACUUUAAGCCUGUUGAAACUGAUGGCAUGCUCUGACCCCUCUGAAUAGGACACCCUCUCCUCUCAACUUUCCCUUACCAAAUUGUAUGUUUUUUGAAAAUGAAUUUAGGAUAUGCACUUGCACUUGAAUGAAUUCUUUUACUUUUCUUUAUUAACUUGUUAAUUUAUUUAUUUUUUUAGAAUAUAAUUAGAAUGUAUUGAGUUACACUGUCUUCCAAUAUGAAUAGUCAUAUAGGUGAAAGUUGUUGACUUUUAAAAGUCUAUCUAGAAUGAUUUCUAAUUAGUUGAUAAUGUAAAAAUCUUUAUACUAUCACUAUCUUAAUUAAACUCUUGUGAUAAUGACUUUUUUAUCCGUUUUUACUUCAGGUGUUUGAUUGAUCAACAUCAAGCAAGUACUGACUAAUUUACUUGGAGCAAGUCCUGUGUACAUUUUGCAAGUUUGCAUGCUCUUGAAUAUGGUUUUACUUUUUGAGUAUAUAGUCUUACAAGUGCUCAUCUAAUGAAAGAUGCUUCCAUAUGCAUUGGAGAGUGGAAACUAUUCUUUUUGUGCAGAUUAUGGAGCUAUUUGCAGCGUCGCUUCUGUUUGCCAGUGAUUAAUGAAAUACCGGAAGUGUCCCUGCUUAUUCUUAUGUAAAGGAUUUAGUCUAGUUGAUUUGAUGUGAUCUAGUAGGCAAUUUGGAGUCAAGUAUUCGAAUUGAAAUAAAAUGUUGAGUUAUUGGAAAACAAGUGUUCUCCCACACCCUUUCUCUUAACAGUAGGUAAUAUUGAAAAAUCAUAAUAACCCUUGCCCCCUAAAAUUGGUGAUAUCAUGUAUGUUCUUAUGACUAUCGAUUUCAUUAUAUGCAGCUAAUAUUGUAAUUAUUAGCAAUGAUCCCAGUGCUUAUUAGUCAACAGAAAUUUCAAGAUAUAUUAGCAAUUUGAGGGAGAAAAGGUUUCUGUUCAAUUUAUUCUCAUGUUAGCCUGGGUUUUUAAUUGAUUAUUAUGCUUUGUAGGUUUGUUCAUUUAGUCAUUUGAUUUUGUUGGUCAUUCGGAACGACCACCUGGAUAGUGUAGAAGUUCAAUUAGUUAUACAAUAGGAUAUAAUAUAUAUGGAUGGAGAGAUAAUGAUAAAGAUAGAUGGAUGAAUGGAUAGAGGUAAAGACAGAUGGAUAAUCUUGGAUUAAAUUUAAUUUUGGUUACGUAUGAGUAGAAACUCCCAAAUUCUAUAAUUGUAUUCACUCACAAGUUCUACUCCCAAAUUCAAUAUUCACUCACAAGACACAAGUUGAUUAUUAUGGGACAACAUAAGGGGAUAGGAUUACCUCCUAGGGGAGGAAAGAAAUUAAAAGUUAAUUUUCAAAAUAGUAACCAACCUCCCCGUAUCAAUGUGUUUUUUCACGUUAAAAAGGAAAAAUAAAUAUCACCAAUCAUGCUAUAGGCCUCAAUUUAGCCCAAAAUAUGCAGACAAGUCUAAAAUCCAUAAUUAACUAAUAAAAAUGGUCCUAAUGUAUUCCAAGCUUGAAAUCAAGAAUCGACCAAUCAAAAUAUUCUUAAAUAAUUACAGGUUCAAUUUAGGACUUAAUGACAAUACAAAAUCCAUACUUAAGCUCAAAAUAUUUGAUUUAAUCUUUCAAUCAAGUCCAUAACGACUCAUGGAUAGCUAACACCAAAUUGGAUGAAUUUCGACAAUUAGGUUUUUCAUAACUUCUCUAACUCUCUUGACGCUUUUGUCAUUAGAUACAAACCACAAAUGGUUCAAUUGUAAUUUGUCUUUGGUAUAUUGAUAGGUUCAAUAUUAUUUUUUUCCGUUCUUUCACUCCAAAGAUUGAAGGAAAAAGAAACUUUAUGUUAAAAAAAUGUAACUUAAAAUUAUAUUUUCUUUUCAUCCUUUGGUCUCUUCUGCUUCUAAUAUUAUCCAGAAAUAAUGAAUUGAGUUCAUAUAAACAUUUUGGAUGCUGCCAUUGAAAUAGUGGUUCUUGCUAUAUUUCACAGGGCCUCACCCAUUUUAUAAAGUAUUUUUUUCCAUGUUUAAUGAUAGUUAAAAAAUAUUCGAUAGUAGUAGUAGUAGUAAAUUUGCUAUAAUUUUGACAAAAAAAUGAGUAUUUUAUUAAACUCACUACAAAUUUCAUAGAAAAAUUUAUUUUUUUCUGCACAAUUUCUUACAAAAUUUGUUUUGUAUUAUAAACUUACAUAUUUUUUCUCAAAAAAAUUACAAUAAAUUUUCCAUUUUUUAAAAUCAGUACCUUAUAAUUUAUUUUUUUAAAAAAAUACCUUUAAGAGUGCUACUAAAUUUCCUUAAAUUCACUAAGAAAUCAUAAAAAAAAUAGUUUUUUCUGCAAAGUUUUUUUUACGAAAUUUUUUUUGUAUAAAAAAAAUUCUUUUAGAUUUUCCAAAAAAAAAUUACAAAUAAAUUUUCCAUUUUUUAUAUAUUCGGUACCAAAUAAAUUGUAAGAAAAACCUUAGGAGUGCUAUGAAAAUAAAGUAAGGAAAAUAUAUUUUAAUAUUAUAAAAGUCAAUUAAUUAAAAAAAUAGUUAAUAUUUGAAUAGUAUCGCUAAAUGCUUAAAAUUAACUAUAACAAAUGAUAUUAUAUAAAUCAUUAUUUUAAUUUGUAGAUUAUAGAUUAUUUUAGCCGUUUCAAUUUGGUUUUUCUCUGCCACUUCCAAAUAUAAUUGAAUUUUCAAAAGUAUAAUUUACUUAUAUAUAUUUUUAUUUGAAUAAAUUUUGGAAGAAGAGAGCUAGGUUAAGAUUAAUGUCUGUCCUUACUUAAAUCCUUUCUAAAAAAGGAACAAUUUAUGAGUGAAAAUUAAUAAGCUUAAACAUUUUAGUCUCAAGAUUGUCUCUAAAUAAAAAUAAAGCAUUUCUAAUUUAAUUGAAUGCAUGUACAUAAGUGAAAGCUACCACACGUAGUUUUGGAUUACAAGGUGUUUAUAGUCCGACAGUUUCUAUGUGAUACAUAAUUGAGUUUUUCAAUUUACUAAAAAAAUUAAUAAUAUUCCCUUAUGUGUCAUAUUAACAUAGAUUGAAAUCAUAGUGGUCCCUAAUCAUAUGCAGAUAAGGCCUCUUGAUGCCAAGACCUUUAAGUAGCUGCCUAUCAUUUUGGAAGCAUGUGUAGUAGGAGGUAUUUCUUAGAAUUUGACAUCGAUGUUUUAAGAGAAUCAGAUGAGUCAUCAAACUGAUAAAGAUAAUGGAUUAAUAGGUCACUAAUCAGAUCAAAAUUUCAUUAAUCAAACUGGUUUAACUUGAUAUAUAUUAAAAAAAUUAUAAAAAAUAUAAUUAAUUAAUUUUAUUUAAUCAUUCAAUACUCUAAAUUUAAAAUGAUUGUCGUUAUAAAAUACCUAAUAUAUCAAAUAGUCAUCAAUAUUCAUGUCAAUGCAACUUUAUAAAUAAGUUUCAAAUACAAACAAACAUUCAAUGUGUUAAAAAUAAAAUUAAGUUUACAAAAAAUUUAUAUAUAUAUAUAUAUAUAUAUAUAUAUAUAUAUAAAAUAACACUUGAUUCAAUCAAAGACUCAAUGGAUUUAACCUGGACUACACCAAUUCUAAUAUAUUUACGAUCCCGACCGGUGUGUUUAUUGGAUUCCGAUUGAAUUCUGUCCAAUCCGAUUCUUAAAGCAAUGCGUGACAUGCGUCCAAGUUAACCUAUUUUGGUCGAUGGUGGAGGGGAGCGAAUCUUCCGCUCAAUAAUGCAUUUACUUGACCAAUAGUGUUAGUAAUGCAUGCUUGAUUUCUUUAUGCAAGAUUUUGAUUCUGGGCUUUGUGUAUAACAAUAAUUUCUAAUAGAACAUUUAAUCCCAUUAUAUUCUGAAAUUUACACAAAAGCUGAGUUCUAAGAUGGGUUCUGCAAUUCACAUACAUUGUUGCUGAAAUCCAGCAUCAGUACUUCAAAUUCCACUUGUCAUGCUUGAUUACGACGAACGAAUGCCGACACUACGCUGGCUUUGGACCAUAAAUUUAAGUAAAUAAUUAAAACCAGCGUUUUUAAGUUACACACUCAUCAUAUAAUGUGGUCUUUAACAUCUUGAUUGUGACACUACACAUGCUAUAAUUUGCAUGUAUAGUGAUGCAAUUUGACCGUAGAAGUAAUUUUAACGUUACUAUUAAAUCCUUUUUUCAACUUGCCAAGGCUUGUGGGGUUGUCGCAUUUAAUAUAAACAUGUCUUGAAGUUUCUCACAAGAUAAGGAGUGUCCCCUCUCAUUGAAAUUUAUAUCGAACUUUUGACUUUUCAAUAGAAAAGCAUGAAAUUUAUUGAAUUUGAAAUUUAAAAAAUGUUUUUUUUAACCGAGAGACAUUGAAAUAUUUUAUUUGUCACUCAACUAAUUUUCUUUUAUCAUAUGGUCCCAUUUUAAGAUAAAAUAAUAUCUUUAAUUAUAACUUAAUUCUCAAGUUAGAGAUCAAACAUUAUACCUUAAUUAGUUAAAAAUCCAACUGUGUGAAAUCACUUCUAUCAACAACGAAUUUUGGCCCAUCUUGUGCUAACAACUAAGUUGUUAUUAAUUACUAUACAGAUUGCGUCUAGGUUCUUCAUUUACAAUACCAUGGGACCUAGGAGUCUCAAUCCCUUUUGAAUAAUCCACACCAAACUUUGGCAUAUAAUACAAUGACAAAGCAAGUCAUUAAUGACCUAGAUUGAGACCUAGCACCUACACCGAGCCCUUACUAGUAUAAAAACCGAACACUAAGUGUGAGUUAUGCACACCAACACCAAAACAAACCCACUAAGAUGGCUUCCUUUGUAUCCUUCCUAGUGCUGCUUCUUGCAGCCCUUAUCCUCAUGCCUCAAGGGCUUGCUACUUACUACAAACCAAUUAAGAAGCCACCAGUGUACAAGCCUCCAGUGUACAAGCCACCAGUGUACAAACCACCGGUUUAUAAGCCAAAACCACCGGUUUACAAGCCGAAACCACCGGUUUACAAGCCACCAUAUAAGAAGCCACCAUACAAGAAACCACCUUAUGGAAAGUACCCUCCAGUAGAGGACAACACCCAUGCCUAAAGCAAGCAAUGAGGUCUAUUAUCUACUUAAUAAAUAAGAGGAACUGCUUUGUGUUUUCUAGCAUUGUGACUUACAACUUCGUAGCAAUGCAUAUUCUUGACUCUUGCAUGCACUUCAAUCCUUCGUAGCAUUAAUGAUGUGGCCAAGUCAUCAUGAGCAUCAUACUUAUUUCUUUGUGAAUGUAAAUCAAAAUUAUAAGAGAGAAAAUGGUGCUUUUGUACUACAGAUUACUAUAAAUAAAAAACUUUUAUGGUUUUCAGAUUGUGCUGGUUGAUUGAUUUGCUCUACCAUUAAUUAUGACGAAACGUAGUUUUUUUUUUUCUCUUUUUUAAUCCGUAAAAAUAAAAAAAAUAAAAAAAUAAAUUUAUAAUAAUUCACACUUUAUUUAAUUAAUCGAAAUAAAUUCCAUAAUAGAUGAUACAUAGUUUGACAUACUAUUGUUAAGCUUAAGAUUAAAGAUCGACCCUAUGUUGCAACUAAACUUUCUACAAUCAAUUUUAUAAAUUGGAUUGGUGCAUGUAAGUCUAGCUAGCUAGAGGCAGAAGAACAGUACUAGAGUAGUAGAUGGAAGCCACUCUCCACGCACCUCAAAUAACUCGCAAUUAAACUUGAGCAUAACAUCAAUAGCGACUUAAGUUAAUUUCAAUUAUGGGCUCUAUUUGAACAAAUUUCUCUAUAAAUAUUUCCAGAAGAAAAUAUUAAGAAAACAAUAAAUUGAACUUCUCAUUUAAGUUAAAAUAAACAUAUUUGUAUAUUUUUUAUAUAAAAACUCUCAUUUAACUUCUCUUAAAAAUAUUGAAGUAUAUAAAUUAAUUUUAGCUUAUGAAAAAAAAAAUCAACUUAUUUUAAUUUUCUAUUCUUAAAAAGCCAUAGUUAUAGUUAAUGUGUACAAAGACCAGUUCCUACGAGAGUUGCUGUAUCCUCCUAAACCAAAUAUCCGAAUACUCCUACUCAGUAAGAAUAUUUUGAUAUCUGUUAAUAAUUUUAUAAUAAAUUAUUUAUUUAAUUUGACAUUUUAAUAUUUAAUUUCUUUCCAAGUUUACCCCUUUUCCAUAUGACCAGUCAACUUAUCCUCUUCAUUCGACUUUAAAAAGAGUGGGUGGUGGUGCGGUGAAGCUGAAAACCACACACAAUGAUGGUGGUGGAGAAUGUGAAAAUGGUUGUGGUCGGAGAAGGAGGUACAAGGGACAAAGUUAACUGAGGAAAAAAAAAACUCAGCGUGAGAGAGGGUCUUUUGAAAAAAAGGACAAAUUUGGAAAGGAGAAAAAAAGUUAAAAAGUGUGUUAACAAGUGUGAAUGCUUAGGUGAUUCAGUUACUUUUUCGCCACAUAUGAUCGGAGGAAUAAACAUUUCUCUUUUUCAUAUUACUAUUUUUGUAUGUUUGUCUACACGUACAUGUGGACGGUUAUUUGUAUCAAGUAUCAACUACAUAUGGGUGUCAAAAUUUAAAACUGAACCGAAUUUAAUGAAUUGAUUCAACAACUCUAAUAUAUAUGUGAUGUGAUUUGAAUUUUAAUAAUUUGCGUACGAUUUUAAUUUAAUUUUGAACCUACUUCAGUACAAAAAUUUACGUAUAAUCUUACUACAAGUACUUAAGUCACCACAAUCAUCUACACUCACAUCUUGAAAAAGUGACAUUGAUAGCAAAUUCAUGAAGUACUCACAGCUAACGUCAUUUGAUGGUUGAAUGAACCCCUCAGCUACCCAUAGCUGAAUGAGUGUUCUCUUAUCAAACUCAAAACCUUUUGGAAACAAUGAACAAUAAGCAAAACAGUUUUCCAAAAAUGAAGGAAGAUGGUCAAAACUCAGUUUAAGGAUUGCAAAGAUUUUGUCCUUCUCUUGAUCUAUCUUUGAAAACCCAACUUCCUUAGAGGCUAUUACUAUGCGCACCCAGCAUAAUUACUGGUACAUCCAGCAUAACAGCAUAAUUCCCGUUUUGUCCUUUCCUAAAAUUGAUACAAAUUGUCAAUUCAUAUAAGAUUUACGGAUUGUCCAAUCUGUAAGUAGCCCAAAUAUUUUUUUAAUUUUUUUUUUAAAAAAAUAUGUUUUAUGAAUUAAUUUAAAAUUAAUGAUUCAUGCAAGAAUCAAACUUAUAACUUUCACGUUAUUAACACGACAUUCUAACCAAUCUCAAUAUUCUUGUCAACCCUUUUAAGUUAUUUUCUUUAUGUUAGUUUUUAACCGAUGUUGAAAGUGCCGAUGUUGAAUGUAUUAUCGUUAACAUCGGUUUUAAAAAAACUGAUGUUAACGUUAAUUUUACAACAUCGUUUAUUUAAAUAACCAAUGUUGAUAAUAAGAAUUACACCCAAAAAAAUGUAUUAAUGUUGAUAGUUAACAUCGGUUUUUUGGAAAAAUCGAUGUUAACGUAACUUAACAUCGGUUUUUUUAUAUAAAAUUGAUGUUAACGUAUGUGUUAAUGUUGACAGUUAACAUCGGUUUUUUGGAAAAACCAAUGUUAACGUAACUUAACAUCGGUUUUUUUACAGAAAACCGAUGUUAACGUAUGUGUUAAUGUUGACAGUUAACAUCGAUUUUCUGUAAAAAAAAAGAAAACCGAUUUUAACGUACGUUAACAUCAGUUUUUUCCAAAAACCCGAUGUUAACGUAUGUGUUAAUGUUGACAAUUAACAUCGGUUUUUCCAAAUAAUCGAUGUUGUUUUCAGGAUUUUUUUUUAAAUAUUCUCUCUGUUUUUACAAAAAAAACCAAAAUUUAACCUGUAAAUUUAAAAUUAGACCACACAGCAUAUAUGAUUUGCAUUUUGCUUUCAAAUAGGUUUUAGCAGAAAACUAGCUAGUAAACUAUUAAAAUGAAACAUCAAUUGUAAAAAAUGUAAUGCAAAGUACGGUAAACUAAUUAAGUAACCUAAAGUUACAUAGUUCCCUAACAUCCUAUGUUUGAUUUCUAACUUUUAGAUAAUAUUGUGCCCACUGCAUGUGAAGCGCCUUGAAUCUCUCUGCUUCCAAUGAUCUAACAUCAUUAAAAUACUGGAUGAUCAAAUAAAAGAUAAAUUAAUGAUGUAAUAACAAUGAUAAGAAAAUCAACUUUGUUUGAAAUAAACAAUUACCGUUUCUCAAUUAUUCCUGAAAGUUCCUGAGAUUAUCGUGGACAUCUAGUGCAUGACGUAAUAGCUGUACUCAGUGUUUCGUUUUUGUCUAUUACACUAAAUACAUAAUGAAAUUUGGAUAUUAAUUAAGCGUUAACUACAAUUAGUGUACACACACAUAAGCAGUAUAUAUAAUUAGAAGUUUAAUUUAAAUCACGUACCUUAACAACAAUCCACCUAGCCGCAGCCUUGGAUUUAGGUUGUGGAGUAUCAUCAAGUCCUUUCAAAGCACUAUUGAAUACGAGGAACAUUAAAAUAUUGAUGUUGUUGAGUUAUGCUAAUGCAAAUAUAUUGAAAACAACAUUGACCUGUUAAUUAUUCCCUUAAGGUAGUUGUCUGGCCUGUUAUGUAAAGAACAAAACCAGACAACUAGGUUUUCCUUAGGCAAAAUGACGACCAUUUGCCAGUGUCCGCUGCAGUGGAGACGAAUAUGGGCUAUUGUAAUAGUAUAGAUUAUUUAAAUUCAGUUGUUGUGUUUGACUUACCAAUUCAGGUAAGCUCCAAGGUAAACAUCGCGUUUUGAACCCUGCAUCCAACUCUUGAUGUAACUUUUCGAUUCAAAUUGUGAUUGCCCAAAUCUCUGAAUGGACUGUGGCUCGAGAAAUCCAUACACAUCGGAAUUCCCCGCUCACAUACUUGUCUCAGUCAGAUGCCUGUGUUGUUAAGACAAAGUUAAUUAUGUAUGAAUUUAAAACAAUUACUUUGUUAAUUAACAGUAAUCUAAAUUGACUUACAAAAUUCACAACUGUAUAACAGAGAUGCUGAGACAUUGACCACCGUGUGCUAUUUCAUACAGAUCUUCAUGCUUUAUGUACAAGGGAAAGUCUGAAUUAAACAGCCCGAACAGGGAAGCAUCCCACAUAACCUUGAGAGGCUUCAAAAACAAUUGUGGGAUGGUCAAUGUCAUCAGAUGCAGAGGAUCAUCGACCUCACGAUCCGGGCUUUUUGGAGGUUUUGCUAGAGACACAACUGCCUGUUAAUCAAACAUAGUUAAUUAACAAGUUUUGAUUACAGUGAACAAAUCAAUUGAAAAAAAGAAACAUAUAAUCAGAGUAAAAUACCUGUUCUGAUAAACGUUUCACGAGAUGUAUCGGCCAAGCAAGGAAGGUGUUAAGUGUCUGCCCCACUAAGGUAACCUUGUCAAUGGGUACAGGAACGGGAGUCUCUGCAUCUUUAACCUCCUCAACACCAACCUUCACUUGGCCAUGCAACAAAGGGAUGUUAUGAACCACUGUGGAUCCCUCAUAAAGUCUUCCUAGGGCAACCAAGUAGGAAGGAUUUUCUUCAAUUUACAGCCCGCAUUUGUCUGAGUCAUCCGUCUCUGGAUCGUUCCCUGAGGAAUCAACACAACUCUUCUUUGUGCUGACACGAGCACUUGAGGGACCAACCUUUGGCUCCGGAGGCAGUGUAAAUCCCUGUGAUUGCAUCUGAGACUGAAACUGGGACUGCAUUUGGCUGAAGGAUGCCAUCACCUGCUGAGUAACUUUUUCUGUGAUCGACUCCUCCAGCUAGUCCCUGAUUUGUUGGGUUAACUGUUGUAGGUCUUCAGGAGGCAUAGAGGAAGAACUACGGGACAUUCGUGUAGCCAAUCCGAAAUAUUGCUUUAUGGUCACAUCAGCUCCAGCAGCACGGACACGGCCAGGGUGCUCUGAUCGCCCAAUGACAACAGUCAGGACAUCCUGACGUCUAUGGGGGACGAACGAUCCCUGUGACGCCUGCUCCUCCAAAGAAUCCUGUACAUAACACAUAUAUCUGUCCAAGGCAUUCACAAAAUACACAAAGAUAAUUACAAUUCUUAAUUGAAAAUGACUUACAAUCUUCUCAGUUAUUUCCUUUGUUGCCUCAGACGUCAUCGGCCCAGUUUUCUUUGUGUAGACCAUUUUUCACUUCAUGUGGCGUCUGAUGGGAGAUGGAGGGUCAAUGACGCCCUCAGUGCUUUCGGAUUGGGCAGCUUCCUCCAGUCUUUUCUUUGUCUUCUCAGCCAUAAGCUUUUGUUCUAAAUAUUCAUAACCCCCACGAAACAACACGUGGGGGGCAGUGUUUUGCUUCUGGAUGACUUGUGUUUUUUUCCGCACAUCCUGCAAAAAUCGAACAUUAAUGAAAAUGAUUACUACAAUGAAUUAUAAGAAGUUAUUUUUUUUGUGGAAAACAACUAAAAUGACAAACUACAUACCUCCCACGAGGGGUCUCUGCGGGUCUGACAAAACUUGGCCCAUUUCUCCUUGCUAAUGUCGCAUUUUUCACAGACAGUGUCGUCCACACCGUCCUUGUCGGCUGCAAGUGCCCAUUUCCUGGUCAAGUCAGAUUUAAACUGCCUCCACGGCUUGUCGACAGUCUGAAGAAUUUUCUUCUUUGUCCUACUGUUAGAAGCUUCAGGGAUUUCAGAUGUUAAGAUCAAGUAGUUAACAUCGGUUUUGACAUCGGUUUUGAAAAAACCGAUGUUAACUAACUCGACUUAUUUACAAAAAUGUCAUCGUGCUUUUCUUAACAUUGGUUUUUUAAAAAAUCGAUGUUAAUCGUGCGAUGUUAAAUCUAUAUUUUGUAGUAGUGUUUAGGUAUCUCAUAAAUUAGUCAAUUUUAUUUUGAGUUCUUAAAUUUUUUUCUUUUUAUUUGAUCCUUGAUAUUUUAUUUUUGAGUUCAUGCCGUUAAAAAUUUUAAAAUGCAAUUUUUUACUACUAAAAAUAAUAACAAUGUAAAUUUAUUUAAAAUAUUAAAUUACCAUUUAUGGCAAUUCAAUUGGAAAAAAUGAAGUAGAUAUGAUCAAAUAAAACCUUACAGACAAGACGAAGUCUAAGGUGGUCAAGUGAGUUAGGUGAUUUCUGGUGGUCAAAUAAUUUUUUGCCAAUAGAUUUAUUAAUAAAAUAUUAAACCAUUCAGAUGAAAUCUUUUUGUCAGUUUUUAACAAUUAAAAUUAUUUCCUCCCUUGUCUGUCGUGCACCACCAUUGGCAACACGUCACUACCUUGCUUUACUUUCCACUCUUCUUCUUUCCCUCUAUUUCCCUUCGUACUUUGACACCUCCGUAACCUCACUGUCAUGUUGUUGAAUUCACAUCCUUGAUUUUAAUUAUGACAAACCAUUAGCAAAACAAAUUGAAAGGAUGAUGGGUUUAAGUGAUGGCUAACAUUUCUCCCAAGCGUUUUAGUGUUUAUUCCUUAAGAAGCAUAAGUGUUCUUUCAUUCUGAUGUACUUAGAAUGAUGCUUAGAAAGGUUCGAAGAAUUGUUGUGAGAGUUGAAAACUUAGAAGAAUCCUUAAAGCCCAUCAAAAUGAUGAAAUUUGCUUCCCUUUGAAUACUUAGUUCUUGGCAAGAUACUGAACAACCUUACAUAAAAGAUUCAUCAAAAGAUUCAUCAAAGGCUACCAGAAGAACAUCUUGGUUUAGAAUGAAGUUAUGCAGAGUCUACAUAGAAUGACAAACACCUUGACUCUGAGUUUCUAAACAUCAGAAUGAUUCAGAAAGACUCAUAAUGCAUCACUUAAACAAUAUUAGAAGAUUAAAGUUUCACAUUUCUUCACUUUGCAUAUGCCACCACAAUCACUGUAGGCACGUUAGAAAGUAAGAAUUGACUGCAUAAAAAGAUGUAAAAUUGUUGAAUGAUGAAGUUGUCCAUGAGAAGCAUUAAUGUAAACCAUCAGAUUGAAGGACUAAAGAAAACUACUCAGCCUGACCAUAGACAAAACACUAACACACCAACAACUCAAUUUCUACUAAGUCUUUCUAAAGUAAAUCAACUUAAGAAUGUUUCAAAGUUGUGAACAAGUGUUAAGAGUGAUGAAGUUGUACGACUUCGGAUUGAAAUUUCUAUCUAAACUUCGUCAAAGGAAUUCAUUAAGCAUGGACUCAUUCUUUACAAACAUCAUAAUGACUAUUGUGAUGGUUCUUCAGAAUCCGCAUAAAAAAAGUUCCUCAGAAUGGUAAUCUCCAAAUGGUUUUGUCUACUGUCACUUCAUGAUAGUUAUAAGGUGAACCUACUUGCUCCAGAAAUGUUUCAGUUGUGUGGAGCCCACUACAAUGAUUUUCUUGGGAGCUUUAUAAGGAAUUUUAGAAGGCUAUGAAGAACAAGUUGAAGCAUUCCAAAUUUGUAUCACAUUGUGCAAGUCCUUUGAGUAAGAAAUUUGUGUUUUAGCUUCAACCCUCUCUGUUAGAGUGACCCACUUUUGUAUUGUGCUUUCAAAGCUUGUAAUAACCUUAGAUAGAAAUGAGAGAUUAAGUUCUUGAGUGGAAUCCCUCAUGUGAGGUGAAAAUCUUUAGCAUGUGUCGUAAAACCAUAGAUAUUUUUUUUUUAUGUAAAGUCCAAUAGUGACUAGCAAAGGUGAAAUCCAGUGGUGCAGCUGGUCUAGUAGAAGAUUGAAGUCUAGUAAGGAAUUGACAAGGUUGUGAAACCCAAUGGUUGUUGGUCCAGUUGUGAAUUGGUUGUGUUACUGAAAUAACAUCUUUAAGGGUGAGGAUUGGACGUAGCCCAAGGUUGGGGUGAACCAGUAUAAAAACCUUUGUGCACUUUCUUCUCUUUCUCUAUAUUUUGUUCUUGCACAAAUCUAAAACUACUUUUGUAUAAAAUACUAAAUUUGUUAACUUUUUAUCUUAACAACUAAACUAAGUUUUGUUUUAUCAAGAGGUAUUAGUAAAGAACUAUCUUUAAAACAAAAGUCUUAAAACUGCAAAAGAACUAUUUUUUUGAAUGGUUUGCAUUUUCAUUCUGAGUUGCUUGAAUUUCCAUUCUAAGCUCAUAACAGUUUUUAUAUUCUGAACUACCAUAAAAAAAACCUUUUUGUUUUCAAAGGAAGAUUAAAAGUUUUCAAAACCCCAAUUAAACCCCCAUUUUUGGUAUUUUUCUCACUUCAAUUAGCAUCAAAGUUUAAAUGAGUUAUUCACGAGCCCUUAAUGUCAAGCUUUCAAAGCUUGAGUUUGACUCAUUUAAAUAAUCAAGCUUAAUCUCAAGCUUAAAUUUGUUUGUUUAAUUAAACAAAUGAACUUAAAUGAUUAAUUAACAAGUUGAACUUGAAUAGUUCACAAAUAGUUUGUCUUAUUCACAUCCCUAACUCUUCAUUUUUUUAUCCAUAGGAAUUGAAUAAGAUAUAAAAAAAUUUAGAACACUCAGACACCCUGCUUAAUCAACUAAGUUAGACACCUUUAGUCCCUAACUCUUCAUAUGGUUAUAAUCAUAUUCUAGUAACAAUAUGUUUCAUUUCACUACCUUACUAAAUUACAGGACUGACUUCAUUAUUUUGCAACACCCUUUACAUCACAUCAUUCAUUCAUAAAAUUUGCAUUAGUUAAAUAAAAUUAUUCAUCAUCAACAACUAUGUAAUGUAUACCACCAUGCAAUCAAAGGAUAAGCAAUUAAGAAAAUAUUUAAGCUUAUAUAAUCCAAGUAGCAUGAUUGCCUUAAUUGGUACAUAAUGCAAGGCAUAAAAACCAAAAAGUGGCAGUAUGUGUAAUAACAAAAUGAAACAAAGGAAGGAGAAAAAAUUAUUUGUGUGUUACAAAUAAAGAGGAGGAAGAAGGAAUAAUUUAAAAAUAACUCCAUAUAUUAUUUGUUCUAUUAUUUUAUCCAAUGAAUUGUGAAGAAAAUAGAUGCAUUAGUAACUAAUUAUCUAUAAAAUUAUAUGAAUUGGUCCAAUAUAUUAUUUAUUUAUUUUGUAAUUGAAGAAUUUUCUCAUGAUUAACUUAGAUGAAUAAUGAAUAAGUUAAUUAUUUUGUUGCUCCUAAUUUAACCUGGUGUGUCUAUAACUCAUGGUUCAGGUUGACCCAUUCUCUUAAUCUAACUUUGUUUGUUCAUUGAGUUGCUCUUUAAUAUGGGUGGGCUUAUUAUCAACAUGGCCAGUAAUAAUGGGAAUUGAAUCAUGCACUCUCAUAAGUGUAUCCUAGAUCCCACUAUUCCGUUUGAAAUUAUUUGAUUGCCUUUAAUCAAUUAGCACUAUCUUCCCCAACCCAUUCGCGAUGUCUCCCUCCUACGAAGGUUGCUCCCUUCCUCCUUCGUCUCAAACCUGCAUAUCCUCGUUCCCUUCCUUCUUCGUCAUUGAAGGCAAGCUUCUUCCUUUCUGGUGGGGUUGGGGUUGGGUUCUGGUAGGGAUGGGUUUUGGGGGUGGCUUCUGGUAGGGGUGGUUUCCGGUGUGGAUGGGGUCGCAUUUCAAAAUGCUCAUUCUGUAACCAAAAAAUGCUUUCGGAAUGAGCUUUCCAUAAGCAAAAAAAGCUUCAAUUUUUCAUAAGCCAAAAAAACAUUCAGAAUAGUUGUUCUGGAAGUACUUUAGCUUAAGCAACGACUAUUCCAUAAGCAAAUUUGUAAAUCCAAAACAUCCUGUCUAGAAGUGUAUUUUAUAUAUUUUGUAAGGGGGGUUCCAAAAAUUAGUAUUGGGCUUACAAAAAGCCCAUUAUGGAAGCAACAUCUGCAAUCCAAAGUAGCCUUUCCAAAAGUGUAUUUUGCAUCUUUCAAAAAGUACGAUUUUGGCUUAUGGAAUGACCAUUUCGAAAACAAAAUUGCAAUCCAUAAUAGUUUUUUGGGAGUACAUUUUGUACCUUCCAAAUGUUCAUUUGAGACAACAAUAUUUUUACUUACGAAAUAGGUGUUCCAUAAGAUUUUUCCUUCUGAAAUGGUCAUUCCAUAAGUGAAUUUAUCCCUUACGGAAAGCCUAUUUCGGAAACAAGUUUACAACAUGAACGUGAAUGCACGUUAAAAUGUACCUGCAAAGUGGAGAGUUAGAGAAGGAGAGGGACUUUUGCGGUGUUGAGUUGGACUUGCUUUGUACCUUCAAUGGUUGCGAGAAAAAGAGUUGGAGAAGAUAAGAAGAACUGGAAAAGGGGUUUAGACUUGCGCUAUAGGAAGAGAAGAACGAGAAUGGGCUGCAACUACGAGAGAAAGAAGGGAAACCGAGGAUGAGGAUAGAAAGGGUAGGUUGGGGUUUAUUAAAAAAUGGGAGAUGCAUGAUACAUUUAGGGAGGUGCAGAAUUCCAGUAAUGACCAACUCAAGUCCAAUUAAUGGUGACAUCAUAAGUUAAUGACUUAGUGUCACUUUUGAUCCAUUAUGUUUCGCAAUUAUUUUGUUUUAAUACAUUGAGUUUAAAAUGUUUCAUUCCAAUCCUUUAUGUUUUUGAAAUAUAUUGUUUUGACUCUUUUUCUAAUUUUCUAUUUGAAAUGUUAGUUUUUUGUUAAUAUUUAAAUUUCAAAAUAAUUAAUUUAUGACAGUGGUGAUUAAAAAUCGUCACAAUAUUUAAAUUAAUUAUCUUAUUAUAAAUAUAAUUAUUUAAACAUUAAUUGUAGCAAUUUUUAAUUCCAACAAAUUUCUUAUUAAAUUUUUAUAAAUGAUUCUUCAUCCUUGAAGAUUCAAUCUUCAUUCCACAAAUCAACAAAUGCAGUUUACAAAUAGCAAGAACAAUUUUUAUUUGCAAGAAACAUAGAGAUGUUCACUCAAUAAUGAUAUAAAACUUGUUCUUUUUUACACAACAAAACACAAUGAGCCCUUUUUUUUUUUAUCACAUAUGACGAAAGCAACAGCUCCAGGGUCAUUAAUUAGCUUUGCAAACGGGAUCUGAUAAUCACAACCGUGGUUGAUAAUCCUCCAAUGUAAUUUGUGUUUAUAAAUUUUAUUUUUUACUCCUUUAUAUACUAUUCAUUUUCUAAAAAAGAUUACUCAUGUAUGUAACUAAAGAUUAUAUUUUUUGUUUCUGUUUAAAAAAAUGUUUUCUUAUGUUAAUUUUUUUUCUUAAUCGAUGCUUUAAUGAUAUAAGUAAUUAACUAUUUGCUCCUGCAAUGUAGUUUAAGUGUUAUGCUACAUUGUUAGUUUUUAUAUAUGCAUGUGGGAAGGUUCACUUGGAACAAGUUGCAGUGCAAACUUGGAGUCUAAUAUACAUAUAACCAUUAAUGGAAGCCUUCAUUCCAAUAGACAAUAUAUAUAAGUUGUUUCGUGCUUAUAAAAUUGUAAUGUUUUUUGUAAAGGAUGUUUAAGUGUGUCAAAUAUGUUAUAGCAAGGCAAGGUACGUAGCAGUAAACUUUAAAUGAUGAGUCAAGCAUUUCCAGUAAAUCUACUCUAAUUGCAUGUUUACAUUGAAAUUUUAAAGUAUUAUUCAUUUUAUGUUAGUAGUCCUACAGCUGGCUACUAGCUAGCAUGAAUGUUUAUGUUGUUAUUUUGUGGAGAAAGUCAAAUAAUUGUUUUAGGUGAUUAAUUUCACGCAUUUAGAUAUGGAUGCUGAAAAUUCUUAAGUCAGACUUUGAAUUGUUUCAUGUUCAUAUUAAUAUUCAUAUAAAGAGAUAAACAAAUAUGUAACUUAGCUCUAUUUUUGUUUUGGUGAAUUAGCUCUAUUUAUUAUAGUCUAAUAAUAAUGGCUGCAUGUUGGACUAAAUAGCAGAAAUAUACUUUGCGGAGAUCAUUAAUUGUGAUCAAAAUUGUGGCAUUUUUUUAUUACCACUCAUAAAAUUAUCACCAUGAAAACCCUACUAAUUACGCAUUUAACGAUCCUCAAUUAUUUCAGUAAAAUAAAUUUUUGUCUACCUUAAUUUUUUUUUUCUGUAAAAUUCUCCUAUAGUUAAAUUUACAAUAGAAAUUUUCAAACGAUACUUUUUUUAAGUAAAUAAUUAAUUAAAUUUAUGCAAAAUAAUUAAAUUAGGUCAUAUCAAAUUUAAUAUGAAUUAGAUUAUUAUUUUAAUACUUAUUUACUUACAUAAAAAUAUUUAUUUUUUAAAAAAUAUAAUUAUUCACAUGAGAUUUAUAGCAAAUAAUUUUUUAACUUAAUAUUUUUAUAACUUAUUACAACUUUUUUAAACAUUAUACACCAUUGUUUUAUUUUUUGCAAUUUAUUUUUCUGUAGUUAAGGUACAACUUUGAUGAGGAAAAUGGACCAAUAUUAUAGAUAAAUCACAUUAGUCAAAAAAAUGUGAAUAAGAUGAUUUAUUAAAAAUCAUAUCACCAUUAAUUUAAUGUUUUAUAUAAAAGACAGGUUUGAUAAUGAGUUUAUAGUUUAGGAAAUUUAAAUUAAGUGAAGGGUAAAAUGUCAUGAAUAAGUUUGAAAAUUCAUAUCUUAUUUUUAGGUAUUGAGAGAAGGAUAAUGAAUUUUAAUGAUUUUAAUAUUGUUUAUUUGAAUUUGUGCAUUCGUUCAAUGAAUUUUAUUUUUCAAUAAAAAUAUCAAAUGUAGAAAAUAAAAUAAAAGAUUUUUUCUUUUUCACUAUUUUGAUUCUUAAUUUCAUAAAUAUUUUAAAUAAAUUUUAUAUUAAAAUUAAAAAUAUAAUAAAAAUAUUUGUUUUAAUCAAACGUGUUUUUAUUUUUUAUAUGAUUUUGAAAAGAAAUUAAAAGAGAGAAAAUACAAAAUUUUACUCACAAUAUAAAUUUUUUUCAUGAUAUAAAAAAAGAAAAUAGGAUUAAUAAAAUUUUGUAUGAUAAAAUAAUUAAUAGUAAAUUUAUUUAUUCUUUCUUUUACUUAUCAUUAUUUUAAAAAUAUAUAAAAUUUCAUCAAAAAUAAAUAUAUUGUAAUUCUUCCUCAAGUUAAAUGAUAUAUAAAGUUAUAUUUUCUUAACUCUAAUUUUUCUUUAUAUAUAUAUAUAUAUAUAUAUAUAUAUAUAUAUAUAUAUAUAUAUAUAUAUAUAUAUUUUGUUAAAUUUCCCUUUACUUCCAAAUAAAUAAUAAUUUUCAUUUUCCAAAACAAAAUUAGGUGAAGAGAUGAUUUGGAAAAAUAAGUAAAAUUUGAGAUAAUUAUUUUUAAUUAUAUAAAAAUUUCUAAACAAAAAUUGUAAAUGUUUAUCUGUCAUUAUUUUUCUGAAGUUUUAAAGUUAUUGUUUAAAAAAAAUUACACCUCCUACACAUAAUUUGUCCAGUGUGUCGCACAGAAACAUGUACUAGUGUAUGAAUAUAAGAAUAACACAUCCUUAUAUAAGUAAUUUGGUGUGAUCAUUUAUAUUUUCUUUUUCUUUUAUGUGAUUCUCAUCAUAUAAUAUAAACGGUAAUAUUAAUAUAUCGUUAGUUUGAGUAAAAUUAAGUUUAUUUUUUAAAAAUAAAAUCUAAGAUUCAAAUGUUAUAAAUAAAUAAAAAAUAUGAUUAAAAAAAAGCCAUCUAAUUUUUUUUGACAAAGGUUAAUGAUAAGUUUAAUCUGAGCAAUAACAUGACAGUAGAAGCAACCGACUGCAACUCGUCUACUUGAAUAUCUUCCUAAUAAUUGUUUCAACUUUCAAGCCUCGUGUGCUUUGACAUUUAUGCUCCAUAUCCUGAAAAUUUUGAUAAGAUAAGGGACCAAUCUAUACACAGUCCCAAGGAGAUUUGCAAGUAAGAAGAGAAAAAAAUAAAAUUCCAGACCCAUUGUUGGUGAAGGCGAAAUGUGUAGUGGGUUGUCAACGCAAUGCAAUGGUUCACAGUGUGCUGGUCUUAUUGAUGUUUUUUGGUUGCAGGUUCAAUGGUGGUUCUGAUGUAGAGAAGAAGAUGAAAGGGCCAAGGAGGAGAGAAUGGAACAGAGGAAGAAGAAGAGGGUAGAUGAGGAAAGAGAGAAAGAAAAAUCCAAAAAGAAAAUAAAAAUCCCAGCCAUUGAUUUUAAUUUUAAAAUAUCUAAUAAUUUCAAUUAGUUUCCCACUAUGCCAAUCUCGUAAAACUUUCGUCUGGCACCGUGCCUCGCUGUUGAAGGGUUCCCAUGCUAGCAUCUGCCAACACGAUCUGACAUUUCAACUAGGGGUGGGUAUAUCGGUCGGUUUAGUCCGUUUAAGAUCUGACAUGUGAAAUCAAUAUUUUAAGCUUAUUGGGUAAAUCUGGUUGUAAAAUAGAAAGAUUUUUUUUCUUUUUUUUAGAUUUAUAUUGGUUUCCUAAUCCGGUAAAUAAACGAAUUGGUCCGUGGGUUCAAUUAAUAAUUUAAAAAUAAAAAUAAAAAUAUAUUUUUAAUUAUUUGGUAGGUUCGCAAGCAAGAGAGGGGCAACACACGUCAACUGAAGAAGAGAAAGUAAUCUUGUGGAUCUCGUGACAGAAUGAGAGCUGGAGAAGGAGUGAGAGUUAAAAAGAAGAGACUGCCAAGUAUAAAGUCUCAACUCAAAUACUAAAUUUAUGUAAUUUUUAUUUUAAAAUUAAUUUUAUCUUAUUAGUAAAUCUGUGUAUAAAAUUCGUUAAAUUUGCAUACUUAACGAAUCAAACUCAAAUAUUAUUUAUAAUUAUAUGGAUUUAUAAAAAAAUAAAUUGAUAAUAUGCUCAAUCCACGAAAAUAACGGACCGUCCCCGCAAACCUGAAUAGUCAUCCCUAAUUUCAACGGAGUGGAAAGUGGGAAACCAUGAAACUUGCUACGUACUGUGAAAUUAAAAGGUCCGUACUAAUGUACGAAAUUAAUAAUCUUCUCCUCCCUUGUCGUCAUUUCUCACCUCAUCAUAUACAUAAUAAUACAUUAGUACUUUUUUAGGAGGACAGGCCAUAUAUAUUUUUAACACAUUUUUAAUAUUAUUUGUUGUUAAUUAGUUUUUUAAUAAAUUAUAAGUUAAGUUAAAAUUUAUUAAAUUUACAAAACUAUAAGAAAAAAACAUUAAAUAAGAUGUAGGAUCUACAAAAUUUAUAAUUUAUAAUAAAUUUUAACUAAUAAAUUUUAACUAACAAAUUUUCAGCAUUUUUCUAUUCUUUUAGACUACAAGUAUUGAUUAAGUUAAAACAACCAUGUGUUAAUGGUUCCUAUAGUAAUAUUAUUAGGAUAGAAUAUAAUUAUUUUUGGUACAAAAAUACAUGGGAUUUAGAUAAAAAAAAAUCCUGUUAAUUAAUGUUACAAGAUACAUUAUUUAAACAUUUAAAAAUUAACAUUACAUUUAGCAUUUCAAGUUUUCAACGGAGUAGAAAGUGGGAAACGAUGAAAUUUGCUACUCUUAAUUUAAAAGGUUCGUACUAUAAAUUAUAAUGAGAUUCGUCUUUACUUUCGCACCCUCUAUACAUUAUAGUAAUUUAAAGUGCAUGUGAUAUGGUAUGCGAAUAUUUCUACCUGUUGUUUAAAAUUUAUUUAGAAUAUAGUACGACACUGAAACAUUAUUAUCUCAUAAAAAAAAUUUAUAUAAUUAAAAAUAAAUUUAAUUUAAUACAUUGAUAAUAUAAUUUUUUUAUAUCAUCAAUUAAUUAAAAAUCAUUCUAAAUAUAAAUUUUAAAAUAACUAUUAUAAAAGUAAAAAAAAUUAAUAUACACAACAAUUCAUAAUUAGAUGACAUUGCGUUUUAAUUAAUUCAUUGAAAAUUAGUGCCUUUUAUAAUAAAUAAUCUAGAAGUGAUAUUUAAAGUGGUUUCUAAUUAGUUAUUAGUAUACAUUUUUACAGUAGCAUAGUUUUAAAAUUAAACUUCCAGUAUAUGUUUUUAUUUUCUAGAUAUACAUGCAGAUUAAAAAUAUAUUUUAAAACUAAAGGAGACUUUUUUGUUAUAUAAUAAUAAUAAUAAUAAUAAUAAUAAUAAUAAUAAUAAUAAUAUAAAGUGAGAGAUGGAAAUGUAUGAGGGGACGAUGUUCGAUUUAUUUUUAUGAUGGGAACAUAAUUUUUUAAAAUAAAAAAUAAUUAGAAAAUUUUAUUUAAAAUAUUUUUAUUAUUAAUAUAUCUCUUAUUAAAAUUAUAUAUAUAUAUAUAUAUAUAUAUAUGAGAUUGCUAGCAUACUCUAAUGUUAGAGUAUUUAAAUAACCUACAUCAAAUUAUUAGAAUAAAAAGCUUAACUAUUUAUUUUGUGAUAAUAAAUUUAUUUAAAAAAAUAUGAUAAUUUAAUAUUUAUAUUUUUAAAAUUCAUUUAUUUAUCUCUUCAACUCAUUCUCUCUCCUCUCUUUUUCUCUCACAUCAUUUAAUAUUUAUAUUUUCAAAAUUAAAAUUUAAAAUAUUUACCGAGAGAAUGAAUGAGGAAAAUAAAUAAAUGAGUUUUAAAAAUAUAAACAUUAAAUUAUCAUAUUAUUCUUAAAUAAAUUUAUUAUCACACAAUAAAUAGUUUAAUCUUUGAUCUAAAUAAUUUGGUGUAGGUUAAAUACUCUAACAUGAGAGAGUAAGUUAACAAAUCAUUUUAUGAAUGUACGUAUGGGAAGGAAGAAUGUAAUAGAAAACAAAAAAGAAAGAAAAAGAAGGAAAUUAAAAAUAAUAAAUGUAAUUAAUGAUUUAAGAAAAAAAUAAAAAUAUAGUAUACAAACGAGAAAAUAAUUACAGUCAGACUCAGAAACUGUCAUGAUAUUUAUUCAUCUCUAAGUAAAACAUAAUUUUAUUUUAUUUUAUUUUCCCCUCAGAAUUUUAAAAACUCAAGUGUCUCAUGUAUAGCCAAAAAAACCAUAGACGCAUGGUAGUUGGAGAGCCGAGAGCCUACAAUUAUUUCUGAGACAAAAGAUGGAAGAUAAAGUUUACAUAAUUGUUCUCUCUCCAAUUUCUAUUAUAAGAAAAAAAAUAAUUUCAUAUUAAUUAUAAAAUUAAUUAAUUUUAUUAAAUUAUGUUAAUUCCAAAUAAAAAUAAGUUUUUUAAAAAAAUUAUUUUUCAUUAAAACUUGAUAUCAAACAUAAAAAAAAAAUUAUCCUAUCAAAUGAAAGACAUUUAUUUAAAAAUAGUUUUAUUAAAUACGGUAAAGUUAAUUAACUUUUGUUUAUAUAAAAAAAAGCAAUUUUUUUGUUGCUUAUUAAAAAGACCAGUGGGAGUACUAAUUAAAACAAAACUAUGGCUGCUAUGUAACAUGGCACCAGAGAGUCUCAAUCCUUAGAGAAAUUAAAUACCAAACUUUGACAUUUCACAGAGUGAUGGUAGUAAUAAAUGACAAGGAAUGAGACCCAGCAUGGACCCAGUCCUUUGACCACUAUUAUUGUCCAGCUCAAUUGAAAUUUUUUUAUUAAGAGUUUAACUUAGUUGAAUAUGAUAAAUAAAUUAUUAUAAUUUUUUAAUAUUUAUUUUUAAUUUUUAUGAAUAAAAAACUAUUACAAUCUCAGUUCAUUUUCUUGGGACACGUAAUCAAGUUUAAUAACUAUUUCUCAUAGCUUAAAAAUUCAGUUAUGUCGAGUAUUUAUGUACAAAUUAGUUAGAACAAUAGGCGCGUAUAGUGGUCGCCCUCUAAGACAUAUAAUUGUGAAGAUCGAAGAGAAGCUUUAUACAAUUAUUAAUGAUAAAACUAUCAUUGUUAUAUAACAUGGGGCCAUAAAUGAGUGCAUGGAUUGAAUGAUGCAAAAUUGUUACAACUUAAUUAAUUAUCUUGAGUUUUAAUUUUAAAUAUAUAUUUGUGUUAAAUACUCCGGAAAGAGUUUUAUGUUCAUAAUUAUUAUAUUUAACUUGAACAAUAUUAACUCAACUGAUGAUGCAUAUAUAGUUUAUACAAAAAAUAUAUAUAUAACAUGGGACCUAGGCGAUGGCAAAACGGGUUGGAUCUAUUCGAUCAACCCAUUUUGGGCUUUUUUUUCGAAUUAGGUUGGAAUUUUCAAUCCUUCAACUGCUUUGCUAUGUUUUGAUCCGCUACAAAAUGGGUUGAGAGGAAAGUAGAACGGACCAACUCUCUAACCCGUUUUUUUUAUUAAGAAAUAAUUUUAGUAUUUAUUUUGAUAUUUUAUACUAAUAUUUAUUAAUUUUCAAUUAGCUUAUUUUUUGUCUAAAUAAAUUAUUAUUAAAAAUUUAAGGUAAUACAUUUAAUUUUUUAGUAAGUAUUUAUUAUUUAAUAUUUAUAAAAGAUAAAAUUAAUUAAAAUACAUUUAUAAUUUAUUUUUUUAGUUUUGACAUGACAAAAACGAAAUGAACUGAACACUUUGAAUCUAUAUAUAAAAUACGGGAUGAGAUGGGAUGGAUUGAUCCGUUUUUUAUGGAUUGAUCCCUUUUUGCUAGCCCUAAUGGGACCAAAGAGUCACUAUCCUUUAGAAAAAUUCACACCAAACUUUUGACAUUACAGGCAGGGACAAUGCGAGUAAUAAAUGGCAUAGAAUGAGACCCUAGUCCUCUGGCCACUAUAAAAAGGGAUGAUUGUGUGUGUUACAUGCAUCAGCCACCACCAUUGACUAGUAUCAUUAAGAUGGCUAAUUCCUACUUAUCCUUGCUUGUCUUGAUCCUUGUAGCUCUGCUCCUCACCCCUCAAGGGCUUGCUGAUGAAUCUGAUUCUUACUAUAAGCCACCAGUUUACAAGAAACCACCAGUGUACAAGCCCAAGCCCAAGCCACCCAUUCACAAGCCCAAGCCACCCGUUUACAAGCCCAAGCCACCCGUUUACAAGAAACCCCCUUAUGGUAAGUACCCACCAGUUCAAGACAACGAUCACUUCUAAACCAUGCAACAAGGCAUGUUAAUGUUAACUAUCUACUAAAAUAAAGAGGUUCAGUUAACCUACUACGUACGUUGCUCCUUUUAAUUCCUAAAUCGUAAUUUACAACUUUGUAGGGAUGAGACAUUCUUGGCUAGCUCUGCACUUCAAUCCUUUAUUUGUACAAUGCUAUGGCCAAGUCAAUACCAUGCAUCUUAUCUAUGUGUGUCAUUGAACGAAGUAGUUGCGUGAAAAUGAUGCUUGUACUAUGAAUAAAUAAUAAAAGAACUUUAUCAUUUCAAGAUUGUGCUGUUUAGUUUAUUUGCUGAACCACCGUUACUGACCAUAAAUAAUACACAUGCAGGUCUUGUUUAGGAUAAACUUAAUUAUCCGUAA